rnacentral:lncRNA from 1 species
UUCAAGUUAAGCUUUUUAAAACGGAAGAAACGAUAAAUGGGAAGAAUUCCAUACUAUUGAUUGCAGCAAAGAUGUGGAUACGAAGAAGUGUUAGGGUUUCUCUUCUUCCUUCCAUUGCCAAGUUUCCUCCUUUUCUUCCAAUUCAUAAUUCCCUCUUUUGUACUCACUCUCAUACUUCCUUACACGACGAAGCGGUUUCACAAUUCAAUAGCUUGCUUCAUAAGCGUCAUGUUCCUCCCGUCUUCGAAUUUGGAAAGAUUUUGGGAUUUCUUGUGAGGAUAAAGCGGUACCCUAUUGCUAUUUCUCUUAUUAAACAAAUGGAGCUCAAGGGAAUUCACAAUGACCUUGUUAAUUUCAGCCUCCUCAUGAAUUGUUUCUGUCAUUUAGACAAAUUGGCUUUCGCUUUCUCUGUAUUUGCCAAGAUUCUCAAACGGGGUUAUCAUCCCGAUGCCAUAACCAUAAAUACACUCUUGAGAGGUCUCUGUGAUAAGGGUGAGGUCAAGGAAGCCCUCAACCUUCACGACAAAGUAGUAGCACUAGGAUUUCCUCUCAGCCAAUUUACUUAUGGGAUUCUGAUCAAUGGACUGUGCAAAAUAGGAGAAACUGAAGCCGCAAUCAAAGUCCAAUCAGAACGGUUCAAGGUCGAUCAACAGUAAUGUAUACUAUAAUUAUUGACUCUUUAUUUAAAGAGAAACAUCCAAAAGAAGCUUAUGAUUUGUAUUAUGAGAUGGUUAUCAAGGGAAUUUAUCCUAAUGUUGUUACUUAUAGCACUCUAAUUUAUGGCUUUUGCUUAGUGGGACAGGUAGAAGUAGCAUUUGGUUUUCUAAAUGAAAUGCUAUCAAAUAGCAUCAGGCCAAAUGUUUAUUCCUAUACUAUAUUGAUUGAUGCAUUGUGUAAGGAAAGAAAGCUAGGAGAAGCCAAGAGUGUGUUAGGUAUGAUGGUGAAAGCUCAUGUGAAACCUGAUGUUGUUAGCUUUAAUGCUCUAAUAGAUGGAUACUACGUAGUUAAUAAAGUGAAGAAUGCGAAACAAGUAUUGAGUGCAAUGAUCCACAUAGGAGUGAGUCCUGACGUUUGGACCUACAAUAUCAUGAUAAAUGGACUCAUAGGGAAUGAAAGGGUGCAUGAAGCCAUAAAUCUCUUUCAGGAAAUGCACAAUAGAAAUAUGGUUCCUGAUACAGUGACUUACAGUACUGUUAUAGAUGGUUUAUGCAAAGCUGGAAGAAUCUUUCAUGCUUGGGAUCUUUUUCGUGAGAUGCAUGGUAGAAAUCAACAAACAAACUUGAUCACUUAUAAUUCCUUGAUUAACGGUUUAUGCAAAAAUCAUCAUCUAGACAAGGCAAUUGAAUUAUUGAGGAAAAUGAGAAAGAAUGGAGUUCAGGCCGAUAUGUACACUGUAAAUAUACUUCUUGAUGGGAUGUGUAGAAGGGGGAGACUUAAGAACGCACAAGAGAUUUUUCAAGAUCUAUUGAAUAACGGUCACAAUCCUGACCUCUGUACUUAUAAUAUUAUGAUCAAUGGUCUUUGUAGAGAGGGUUUGCUUGAUGAGGCAUUCACCUUGUGGUCCAAAAUGGAAGACAGUGGUUGUUUAUCUAAUGUUAUUACUUUUGAAAUAAUCAUUUCUGCUCUCUUUAAGAAGGACGAGACGGAAAAGGCAGAAAUUUUUUUGCAUAAAAUGAUUUCUAGAGAGUUGUUGAAAUGAAGAAAGGUGACACCUUAUUUGAAUAACAAGUUACAUUUAUGUGUUUGUCAUAGAAUGUGCAUGAAUGGUUUGUAAAUUUUGUAUUAGAUGAGUUGGUUUAGGUUGUAACCCUCUGUUGCUGAUGUUUUCCUGGUCAAGGGUUGAUACAUUUUUAUUUUCUUCUCUGCAUUUUGAUUGCUAUCAAACUUGUGUUUCCUUUGACAUUACAUUUUAUUUGUAGAAUUUGUUUAACUGAUUCAUAGAAAGGUUGAAAUCAAUGAUUUUAUUGUCUUUCAGGUUCCCUCCCUAUGUCUAAAAUCUUGAUGAUUUUUUUAUUUCCAACUGUUUGAUAUUCCCCACAUGUUUGUCAGAGACCAAAUAUGUUUUUGCUUUAGGGCCUUCAGUGUUGCAUUUCAGGGAACCAUUCCCAAAGAAUAAGCACACUUACGAAACUUAGGGAUCUUAACCUUCGCAAUAAUCAUCUUCAUGAUAUGGCUAUGCCUAAAUAACUUUUAAGUCUUUCUGAAUUCUUCCAAUAGCAGAAUCUCACAUGUUUAUUUCUUACUCUCAUUGAUUAAUUGCUGGUUCAAUACCAGCAAAACUUGGUAAUUUAGCACAGUUGGAUACAUUGUCCCUCCAUAAUAAUUGCCUAACUAGUUCAAUUCAUUCUACAUUAGGUCUAUUGAAGAAUGUGGUCAGAUUUCAUCUUAAUACAAACCAAUGUGCAGAUAUAUAAGUGGGAAAUUUGACACAAUUCAUGGAAUUACAUCUAUCAAAUAAUUUACUCACCCAAUUCAAUCCCUUCUCCAUUGGGCCAAUAAGAGAAGUAGACUAUUUUGUACUUUCAAAGCAGCAAAAUUUCUGGUCAUAUACCCGUAGAAUUUGGAAAUCUGAAAAACAUAUUUGCUAGAUGAGUGUGCCAUGUUUUUUUUUUGUUCAUAGAAUUUGAAUUAUUUCUCCAUGUUGUUCCCACAGGAGUUAUUUGGAAAAUUUCCCGGUUUAUUUUUAUUUCCCAUAUAUACUUUGAUUUCUUCCUCCUUAAAACCUUCCCUGUAUGAACAUUAUGCAGCAUAUUAUCUCACUUCAUAACAUGGAGAUGAUCAAGCUGAAGUCUAAAAGAACUAGAGAUAUACCACUUCUUGUGUGUAUGAAGGAUCGUGGCACAACUUCCUUUCAUUCAAAUGUGAUUAUACAUAACCAGCUGAUAAAGUUCUUACUUAGUUAUAUAUGUUGAAAUUACAUAAUUACAAUGAUAAAGUUCUUAGAUUAGUUACAUAGCCAUAUAUAGAACUCAAAUAUUGUAUUUGCUGUUGAGUUAAGGUUGCUGAAGACUAAUCUAUAGUUUCAACCUCCUUGACAAUGGUAGUGGCACCAAGUGCAUGGCUGUCAGAGUUGGAAACCAAAGUAUUCAAAAAAGUCAAAUAGUGGCAAUAACUGUUGAGUUUAAGUCCUCUUUGUGUAAAGUCCUUAACGAAGAGCUCACAAGCCUUGGAGAAAAUAAUUGGAGUGUCCUCUGAUAUCAUUUUAACAUCCUCCCUGGUUUCCUUCCAGAUAUCCCUCCACACAGUAACCCUGAAUAUGUGCCAACUUGUUUCAUAUCUGUUCUACUUCACUACUGUGUAACUACAGUUUUAAUGGUCUCUGAGAUACUCUUAGUUGUAGCAUGGGUGUCAAGUUUCAGUGUCAUAUACACCAUUUUCAUUGAAUUUUUCACAGUUUCAUUCCAAUAACAUUUUCAACCAAGACUACUUUGGUUGGCUAAGUGUAUCUAUAAUAAAUAAUUAUGAAUCCUCAACUCCAACAUUAUUAUUCUACUUAUAUAUUUGUUGCUUGUCUCUUGAAACAUUAGGGAACGAGAAGUGUAAAAUGAUUAUAUAAUGAUUUGACUUAUUUCUUGGUAAAGCAUUAUCAAUAAUGACAAGGGUUCUUCUUUACAAGUAUUUAGCAAUUUGAAAGGAUUCUUAAUCAAAGAAAUAUUUUAGGCACAAAAUAGUUUUUGGAGUCACGAUCUGCAACUCCCAAAUGCUCAUUUUCUUCUGCACAAACAUUUCUCCCCUGCUGGAGCUCGACAACAGAAUCGGCGGAAGCACACAGUGAAAUAUGACAGCAACACUGACAGUAGCAUAUGGUGGAGCUCGACGGCAACACUCGAUGGCAUUUUAACCAAUUUAUAUGGGACAAAACCAAUGAUUUUAGAGCUGUGUGUGAAUGCCAUCAAACUUCUUGCAUAAUUGUCUUCUAUCAGAGCUGUGUGUGACUGCCAUCAAAGUUCUUGCAUAAUUGUCUUCUAUCAGUGUCCUAACGCCAAAAUGAUCUUGCAACACUUAGUCAGUGAGGAAAAAGAAAACCAAAUUGAUAAAAUGUGAAGUAUAUUAAAACUGAGAUUAUCCUUUUGUGCUCUGGCCUUUAUGAAGCUUAAGAUUAUACCCACCUCAUACCUAUUUCCCUCUUCAGCUUAGUAUAGUCUAGUUUAGAAUAUCUUUGUUUUAGUUGGUGUAGUUCUCUUAACAAUUUUUGCUUUACAAUUUCCAGCCAAUAGUUUUGUUUUUCCUUUAGAAUGAUUUAGUAUAAGUACCAUAUUUUGAUUCUUCUCAGGAAGUAGGUAGAUUAGUUUACAUACAACUCUAUAUUGAUGAAAUGAAUUUGCUUAGUCUAGUUUAAUUGUAGUUUUUGUUUCGGUAAUUGAAUUCUGCUAAGUCCAGUGAAUUUUCUUUUAGUUAUAGUCUAGUAGCAUAGUUAAAUUCUGCAGUUUUAAUUUUUAAUAACUAGAAAGAUGUAGUUGUAGAUCAGUUCAGUGGAUUUGUGUUUCUUUAAAGAAAGAUUAGAACUAGUUAGAAGUAGGAAGUGGAUUUUUAGAUUGUUCUGUUUUACUUUUUGUACUUUUAGGCUAGUGUAGGGGCAUUUUCAGAUUUUGGUUUUAUAAUUCUAGAGAGUAGAUAAUUUUGAGAAUGGUUUCUAAUGGUAAAAUUAGUUUUGUUAGCAUAGUUAUGAUAAUGUUUUGGUAGUUUUAUCAUUAGGAUAUAGGUUUAGGACAAUUUUAAAAUUUUCUGCAUAUUUGAAUAUCAUAACUGAGUCCCAUUUGUUUCCUUGUUCUACCAACAAACAAAUCUCCAGAUUUAAUGAAUUUGUAAUUCUUCCAGUGAUUGUCCAGAAUGAUAAAUGUGCCAGUGCUUCUUUCCCCCUAGGUGAAACUAUUGCAAUUGUUGAAUGUGGCUUGAAGUUUCCAUCCUACAUUCUCUUGCUCCCUGUAUUAUCACCUUGUUCACAACAACUUCAGUCUGGUGCUGUGCCAAAAAUCCUAGCUUGAUUUCCUGUUGUGUGGAGUUCCAUUAAAAAACCUCUUAUUAGGUGGCUUGUAAGAAGAUUAAAAUGCCAAUGAUCUACGGCAUUUUAACCAAUUUAUAUGGGACAAAACCAAAGACACUUCUAUAUAACGAUCUCGAGUAAGACAAAUUAUUAGUAAGAAGAAACUAAAUUCUAGCCAAAGCUCAGGCAGUAAAAAGCAUGACUUCUCAGUCUAGCUCAAGAGAAUCAUCCAGAAGACCAUGUUAUAAAGCAAGAGAUUGAGUAACUUAUUGAUUUUUAAAUAAAACUAUAUAAUUAUGAAAAGCUGAAUGAGUUAUUAAUANCACUUACUGGAAUAUUUGUAAUAUCUCCUAAUGUUGUCCCGUCCAUUGACUCUUAAUUUUUCAUCUACCUUAAUCCUUCCCUGAGAAUCCAAAUCAUUCUCCAACACAGUUUCCUUCAGCCAUGCAGUAGAAAGUGGUUUUCCCAUGCAUAAAAAAUGUCANUCUGCCUCAAUUGUCUCUCCAAUUGUGAGCAAACCUUUAAAUAUUUUUAAUGUUCAUAACAUAGGUUAGUUCUAAACUCUAUGUAUAAUGUUGCAGACAUAUAUGCUAGUUUUUUUUCAAACUCUUUUUUAACUGUUAUGUCUGAGUUGUCAAUGCAAUAGUCUUAUUAUUUAUUUGCAGUGUUACUGUUUGUUUUCUAACUCUCUUAAUCAUGUAAAUUAUUUUAUCAUAUAUUUCAUUUUCUUCUGUUUCAUUUUCUUUUGUAUAACUUUUGUAGAAGGUUACGUAAAUAUGAUUCCUCGUUUUAACUGCUAGUAUAUAGUUGACAUUUUGGCCUGAUUAUUCUAAUUUAAAAGUAAAUGUAAUUGUAAGUACCAUUAUAGAAGAUCACAUAAAACCUAGAUUUUUCAAUGUGUACUUUUUAAAAAUCACCAUUAGCUUAAAAUCCAAAACAUUCUAAAAUUAAAUUUAUAGCUAUAAACAAAAAACCGUGAAAAUGACAUAAAAUUUAUUUUGACUGUAUUAUAACUGAAAUUAAUCUACUAUUUUUUAAGCAACUACUCUGGCAUUGCAUGCUGGUAUAAUUUGACAAGUUGCAAUGCUAAAAACAAGCUGCUAACAAGUAAAGGCAGCUAAGUAUCUGUGACGCGCUUUAGAAUAAUAAUAUAUAUUAGAUUUUGAUGUAUCCAAGUAUCUAACACCCGGAUUGGAUAUUGAUGUUUCUGCCGCAAUUGUAUAGGCAAAAGCUACAUGUAUCAUGUCAACCAUUUACUGUAUCUUUGGUUUUUAGCUCAAAUAAAACUUACCCGAAUGUAACACAAAUCCUAAAUAAAAUGUUGCACAUUGUUAAGAGGCUCGUGUUCAAUGGCAAGUUACUUCUUAUUCCAUAUUUUGCCUCUGCUUUUAGUCAUUUUACUCAUUUUUCAAGAUUUACACAUUUCCUAUCUUGCUAGCUUAGCUCUCAAUUUUAUAUUAAUUUCUAAGUAACAUUGCUUAAAUGAAAGAAUUGUGUUGAGAAUUAUUUGAAGAGUUCAGAAAGUUGUUCAAUAGAUUUUGGCGUCUCGAAGGAUAAGUGCAUAAGUUUAAAUGAAUAAGCUACUCGUGCUUUUAAGUGUUUAACUGUGCUAGUUUGGCUGAUUUCAUAGUUUAUCUCAUGCAACAAGUGAAGCAAAUAACUUCCUUGUCAAGAAUAAGCUUGAAUCACUGUUCAAGAUAUUUUACUUAAUAACAUAAUAAAUAUAAUAUAAAAAUAUUGAUUUAAAUAUAAUAAAAUUAUAAUAUAUAAAAUUGUGUAAUAAAAUAUAUAAUUUUAUAUGCAUAUAUAAAUAAUAUUGUUUUUAAAAAUUAGUUAAAGUUUUAUAAUGAGAUUAAACUCAUUUUAAUCCUGUCCUAAUCCACUGGAAAAGAAGUUUUGAAAGAGAGGGUUUUUUUUGUGUCUUUAAGGAGUAUCUUAAAAAGAGACUUUUUUUAAGAAUGGAUUAGGAUUGAUUUAUAGAUCAUAGAUCAAGUUGACAAUUCUACAUACUAAACACACUUAAAAAAACCAAAAGGUCAUACAAAUCUUUUAUUUAUAUUAUAAUAUUCAAAUAAAAUAAUUUAUUAAUUUAUGUUUAUAGGUUAAAAAUUUAUUUAAAUUUUUUUAAUAACUAUUCAAUUCAUCGUCAAAAUACUCCAUAUUCCAUAUAUAAUAAGUAGUUACACUGAUUAAGACUAAUAAUAUCAUAAAACUAAAUUUUCUUUCAUAGAUAUUUGUAAAAUUAAUUGGUUUAAGUAAUAGUUAUAUUUACUUAUACCACGUAUACUUUAACAAUUUUUUAGCUAAUGAAUUAUAUUUUUAAGAAUGGAUGGUAUUAAAACAUCACUUUCAUUGAAAAGUAGUAGUACGUAUAUCUAUAUCUAUAUAUAUAUAUAUAUAUAUAUAUAUAUAUAUAUAUAUAUAUAUAUAUAUAUAUAUAUAUAUAUAUAUAUAUAUAUAUUAUAUUAAUCACACGAAAGGAAAAUAAUUAUUUUAAAAGUGAUUUUUAUUCCGAGAAAAAUAUGUUCUAUUUGUUUCUUAUAAAAUAAAAUGUACUAUAUUUUAAAAAUUCGUUAUUUUUAAUUUCGUAUAACAUUUUCAAAAUAUAUUUUUGAGAACAUAUUUUACAAAAAAAAAUAAUUAAAAUACAUUUUCUUUUUUUUAAAAUUAAGAUUUAAUUAUCAUAAACUAUUGGCUUAAAUUAGAUUCAUUAAUUUUAAAAGUUCUGUACUGCUCGCCACUCCCCGAGGCCAAGGACGGGGUCGAACCGUCAUUCCAGGAUUUGCAGUCCGAUACAUUUCCAUUAUGUUACCCAGCCAAACCCGCCACCUCAUGUGUCAAAGUCAAACAGUUGUUCUUCCUUUUCCACUCCCUCUUUAUCUCCAUAUGCACGUAGAGCAUCCUAUAUGAUUGGCAACGGGUUACUAGAGAAGAGGAGACAACUUCUUUCUUCUUGUCGCCUUGCUCNAUUUUCCUUUUCUGAUUGAAAGUUGCAAGCCACUCCACUACUGGUACAAAGCCAGAUGGUUGCUUCCUCCAUAUGAUCAGGAAAAGAAUUUCUAGAAGCUAGCUUUUGUCUCGUAAGCAACCAUGCUUACGUCAGAAUAAUAUAAUAUGAAUUUAGCUUACCAAAGCAAAGUGCCUUACUAAAAAAAAAGUAAAUAAACAACCAGUUCUUUACCAAGUGACAUGGCGUUUUACUAUUCCUUAUUCCUUUCUAGGUAGCUUAUCCAAUCCAACGGAUCCAUUGUUUAUGUGGUGCGAUGCAGUUGAAAGGAAGCUCUUAGGUAUAGGUUGGGGAAAACUCCAAACAAAAAAGGGCCUUCUUCUUCCUUAUAUGAAAUAUAAGUUUUAGAAAGGGGCANCCCUACCCCCUAAAUUACAAGCAAGCGCACAACGGCAUUUUAGUCGUUGUUGCUUGCUGCUUUUGUUGCAGGUUCAAAAAUCUCUUUUUUACCUUCCUUCUCUGUCUCUAUUUCUAGUUGAUUCGCUUCUUCCUUCUUUCGCGCAAGCGCUUGGUUCGCUCCUUUUGUGUUGCAUUUUUUUUGUGAUCCUUUUUUUCAGUUUGCGUUUUUCGAAUAACUGGGAUCUGACAUUUAUUUGUUAUUUAUUUCAAUGUCAAAUCCAUGUUUUGGGCGACCCAUCUAGUUAUUUCAGCUAUCACUAUUGGAAGAACCUGCGGAUGUUCGACUGCAUAUUCCCCGUUUGCGUAUCUCUUACUCUGUAUCUUCUUUUUAUUCAUAUUUCAUUUCUCUUUCUACCCAUAGCAUAGGUCGGCUUCGUGCAGAUAGAUGUUUGCCGGGGGGAUUGGUGCUCCUGAGGUAUGCCCUUCCGGUGGGUUAUUAUAUUUAUUAUUAUCUAUCUAUUCCAUCCUGUGCCCGCACUGCAUCAUAAAAUCUCCGUCUUUGAUCUCUCUUCGCAACACAAAAAGUCUAACAGUUUCUCUCGGCAUCUAUAUUUUAAGUCAUUGAUCUCGUAUCUAUAAGCAGGGGGUCUGCGUUCACUAUUAAGCCUAUGCCCAUCCAUUCCUUUCAAGCUUGAUCCCACCCUUAGACUCGUGACAUUGUUCGUCCACUUAAAGAUUCGUUCGCUCCGCGCUUUAUUCGAUUAGAACCCGAUUUGAGAAGCAUCUCUCAUAGAUUCCUUUCACUAAGUCAUCGCUAGCAAUCAGCUCUUAUCCCUUGGUGUAGUGUCAAAGGGCGAUUUCCUUUCUUUUCUUGCCCAAAAAAAAGUGGCUUUAUUCUUAUUGGAGAAAGACUCUCCCACGACAAGGUUUUACACAUAGGGCCAGUGCUUUAUCUUACUUGUCUUAGUCCGUCUAACGCCUUUCCUUCGAUUGGGGUCCAUCUCGGGGCUUAGACGGCUUGGGUUCUAUUUUUCUCGAAGGCAAUCAACGUGUCAUCCAUUUCUCUCCCAUUAGACUUGUAAAUCGUUUGGUCUUUUUCCUUCUUUCUUUCAGAUCUCUCCCUCUCAUUUUUUUGACAGGGGCGGAUAAAACCACUCUAUCAAUAACAAGAAUACAUUAGUAAUUCAAUUUCAAAUGGUUUGAGCUUCGAAGAAACCUAUUAUCUAUCGAUAGGCUAAAAUAGACUAUUAUUGGCUACUUUGCCUAUCUAUUAUAUUAUGCUCGACUUAGAGACAUAAGAGGAAGACCGUCUUUUCUAUCCAGGUACAAUCAUAACUUCAUUCAUUUGUUAGACCUUGGGGAUAACCAUUAGCAUUGAGGUCAAUCACCACACCACCUCUAUCAUACGACAUUACAUGACGCGAGAGUGCAUGGUCAAGACACACCUACCUAAAUCGCCUACGUUCCAACUAAUACAAGCACAACCUAACUUACAUGAGAUAUUCAACUACCGAAACUACUAGUGGCCCAAAGGGGACGACAUCCUCAAGAAAGAGUUAGCAGUACUGAACAAGUGAGUCAUCAGUCGAGGGACAGAAAAGGACCGCCUUUAAAGAAAAGGACAUUGCUCUAAUAUAAUCCUUGAUGUUUUAACAAUUGAGAGACAAUUGCGACAAGUAAGAAAGUGGGCCACCCGGGAACUGGAAUAUAAAAAUAGUUCCUUUUGGCUAAUAGAAUAAUAGUNGAUGAAAUAACAAAACUCUAAUUGGGCAGACCCUUAAUCAUUUCUACUGGACUAUGCAUAGGAUGACCCACAGAGCAGUGAAAAGAUAGAAUGUAUUCCUAUGGAUUCUAAGGGAGAACGAAGGACGGAGUGGAGGAUGGAGGCGGAUCGGUUGGAACGCGGGCUAGCCGGCCGGGAGGUUCGAUUCCUCCCCGAUUCCUAUUUACUCGAUCCAUUGUUCCCUUGUUCGUGCUUAAGGUUCAUAGUCCUUUAGCUCUUAUUACAGUGGUUAAUAAUGGCUUAUGAAAGUGAUACCACUUUCUUUACUUGAAAUAGUGGUUUACACAAAUUGAAUGAUACAAGCAGGAAGCAAACAACAGGAAGAAGCAGAGCUAGCGUAGAUGCUCGAGAAGGAACAAGAGCUAAAGCAAUAGGAAUUAGUCAACGAGUAUGAAGACUUGAAAAAAGGUGGGUAACACAAAUAUGCCUAUAAACUACUAUGGUUGUCGUCAUCGCUAUGCCAUGCACUGUAGCAUGUUCUAUGGUGCCUAGCCUAUGCUCUUGGCCAACUAUAGAUCGAUAGUGAGAUUAUAAUGCGAUGCAAUUACGGAUGCUCGUAAUAGAGAUUUUGUCUUUUGUGAUCGUUAGAAAAAGCCAACAAAUAAGCUAUCACCUGAUGCAGUCUUUGAUCUUUUUGGGUUGCAUGCCCAAGGCAAUGUUUUUUUUCAUUUAGAUGGAUUGAUCUUCGCUAUCAUGCCUCUUUCAUCCCUUCGGCCCUCGCUCUAACUUAGAACUUAUAGCACAUAGGCUACCUACAGUUUCCUAGUAUGAAUAUUAAGAAUAAUCUAGGAUGCGGGUGAUGAGUCGAUAUUUUAUUGAUUUCACUUAGCUUAUUGUACCGAAUUUAAUCAGGGAAUUGUGUUUAUUUGUCCCGUAUUUUCCCGUUUUUCCAAAUUAUGCUUAAUUUGAUCGAAAAUUCUAAUUUUAAUUAAUUUGAAUUUUCUGAGCUAAUUAUAUGCAUUAUUAUUUUCAGGGAAAAUUUUAGACAAACAAUUUGGAGCAUUGGGAAGGAGACAAAAUAAUUCAAGACUCUCAAUUUAGACAUUUUAAAUUUUAGUUGUAUUGUAAUUUUAAUUGUUUAAACUUUUUACACAACCUUUGCACAUUGCGCCAUUAAAAAUAUGUGGGGCCCAAAAUUUUGUGUGACACAUGUCCUACCCUAGGGUUUUUGGGUGGACCCCACCCUAUUAGGGGAGACCUCACGGCCUUAUAAGGGAAGGCAGCCAUCACAUUGGAGAUUCAUUCACACUCUCGGCUACAACAUUUUAAAAUAGAGAGGUUGGCUGGAACGUUGAGAGGUGAUGGAGUUUUCCAAGUUGCUUGAUUUUGGAUGAAUGAAAGAGAUUUAGAAUUAUCACUGCAGCUGUCAUGUUUCAUGGACCCACGGUGCAUUGCUUUAUUUAUUUUUCAUUAGCUUUGGGAGAAGUAAGUUGCGUAAGAGCAUUACCCUUUUACUAUUUGGCUUUGCAUUUCAUUUCCCUUGAAAGCAUUGUCACAUCAUGCUGAAUUCACGCUGGUAAAUUGAAGGAAAAAAAAGGAUACUCAUUUAUCUAUGUUUUAUUUUCAUCUUGUGCACAUGCUUUUCAUUCAAUGCAAAGGGCAUUUAGCUGCCACGGUCAUGUACUUGGGAAGGGGAAUUUUAUUUUGCUUUUGAAAAAGAAAAGGUGGUUGAUUUCCUUUAAUUUACUGCACCAAAUUCAAUUUGAAGAAUGAUGAGUUGACUAGAUAAGAGCCACGACCUAACAGAUUUUUGGGAGAAGCACACUUUUAUUCUAGUCUAAUUGGAGUGCCACGGUCCAGGUGUAAUGCUGCAUCCAUCCAUUAUCAAAUAUCAUAGUUUCUUUUUCCUUUAUUUCCUUGAAAGUGAAGAAAUGAUUUGAUGGGAGUUGGUGGAAAGUUGUGUUGGGCAGAGGAGAAUUAAUAGGCACGGUGUUGGUAAGCUUUUGGAAGCAAAUUCAUUUUGGCUUUUAGAAAUAGGAAGUACAUUAUAAAAGGUUGCAUCUGGUCAAGGAUGAGACGUGCAAGGCUAUUGGAUGUUUAGCAUAGCAUUUCUUUUCUUUUAGAAAAUGUAGCACGGAUGAGAUUUUAAUACUUGGUUUUUUUGGGAGGUAGUGCACGCUGUUCCGGGAGGACAAUUCAUUUCUUUUCAUUUUGCUUCUAGAGUAACGGUGCUUUAAUAUAGGAAAAGAGGGCAGCAGUUGUUACGUGAUGAAGAAAGGGUGCACACGUCCAGCUGGAGAAAGUUUUAGAUGCACAAUUCAAUCAUUCAAUUAGCAUUAAGGGUGGCUGAAUUCUUUUGGAGCGCUGCACCCAUUUCUUGAGCAUUUUAUUAUUUAUUUGGCAUAGGAUGUCACGACUGUUAGGUGGGAGAUGGUAUGGAGAGAGGUCACGGUCAUUUUUUGUUUUGGUGCAUUUAAAUAAUUUUAACUGUGCUAGAUAUUUGUCUAUUGCAAUGUUGGGUUUAGCAUUUUCUUUUACUUAAUGUUUUCUAUUUUUAGUUGUGAUAAUUUAGUCAUGAUGUUAGCUAUCAUAACCAACCGUUUUCAGUUUGUCUUAGAAACCGUGUUUAGAUCUGUGUUUGCAUAUUUGUCUGCGUUAGUAUUUUGAUUUUAUUUUUCCGCAUUCACAAAACCUUUCAACCCCCCCCCCCCACUUCGUGUUAGACCUAAGACUUGAACCACAUUUGGUCCUUGAGAGACGACCUAGGAGUCAUUUCCUAGCUAUACUGCAUUUCUCAUAUGCAAUCAAAUUUGUAUGGGCCACGACAACCCAUCACACGAUAAGCGUUGUUAAAGACUGAAAUACGUAAGUAAGAGAAACUUUAUUAACAACACAACUCAUCUUCUGCACCAGUAGUCAGUCUUCUCUAUAAGCAAUUCUCAAUGCCUAUAGUAUUUGUUUGUCUUUGAAUCAGUCUACCGUGCGUGGCUAGCUUAUUGUUAAUCAAUAAUCCCAGUGUGUGUAGGCUUUUUCUAAGAAGAAGGUAAGCAUCCCUCAUUGUCGAUCUAAGCUGGGUGAGUCUUCCCUUUUUGGGUCAUCUUCUGCCCAAUGUCAAUCAAUGUGGUACCCUCCCGUUUUUGUUUCCCAUUAGGUUUACCUUGGUUACAGGUUGACCCCAUGGCAGCAAGAAAAAAAGAAAAAGACGAUCUUGUGCUUACUCGAGUGAUCUCUCUCCUACUAAGGCACGCAAACCCCGUUCAUGUCCCAAAUCACAUUCCGUAAAUCAAAAGGGGAAUCCUACUCAUCCAUUAGCUCCUCUCAUAAAAAUUAUUUGCAUGUUUUUAUAAUAAAAAUAAAACUAUUAGUCACUUAUGUGUGCCUAUGUAAUACCCGUGAAUACUCGCAAAAAAAUAUUUUAUACAUUUUAAAAAUAAAAGUUUAAAUAAAAUUCCAAUAUAUAUAUAUAUAUAUAUAUAUAUAUAAUAUAAUAUAAUAUAAUAUAAUAUAAUAUAAUAUAAAUUAAAUAUAAUUUAACCUAAUAAAAUAUAAUUUAAUUGAAAUUUUAAUUAAAUUUAAUUAAAAAAUAUAUAAGUUAAUUUUUUAUUAUUUUUUGCGGGUAACAGGUACCCGCGGGUCGGAUAAUAUACUACCCAUACUCGACCCGUUUAGAAGUGAAUAUUAAAAUAUUCGUUACCCGUUACCCACGGAUAGUAACUAUCCGCUGUGAAUUUUACCCGUGAAUAUCCAUAUUCGCGAAUUUUGUUGUCAUCCCUAGAUACCGUGUCUAAAUGGUCAUUAGGACCGCUCCAAACAAAAGUUCAUCAAAAAGUUCUAUAUUUGUGAUUAAUAAAUGUUAUUCCUAAAAAUUCAUCUUGUGAGAUAUUAAUCUAUUUAUAAGAAUUUGAUGUAGCUUCAUGUAUGAGUUUGUGUAGGCAAAAUUAAUACAUAAUUAUCACUUAAUUUAUAUAAUUAAUUCGUAUGAUUAACAUAUAAUCUUUAUUUGUUAUCGCUUUAGAUUUUUGAAAUCUAAUCAAAAUGUGUUCCCAAAACAAUAUUUUUUUAGUGUUGAAUUAAAGAAAGUAAUAUGUUUUGAAAAAUGUCACAUAAUUUAAGAUAAGUUAGGGAGUAAAGGUUGAUAAUUAUAUAAUAGAUUUUGAGUUUAUGAUAUUUUUUAUUUUAGUUCAAAAUAAUUUAAGUUUGUAUUUAGUUUUUUUUAUAUAUAUUUUUGUAGUAGAGUGUUAUAAAAUUUGAUAGUAAUUUAUUUUUCGAUUUUAAAGGUUUUUACGUUAUGUUUAUUUUUUCUUAUUUUUAUUUUAUCUUAUUUGUCUUGAAAGUAAAAACGAUAAUGUCCUUAAUUGAUACGUUUUUUUUAAGUGGUAUAAAAGGAACUAUACAAUGUUUUAACACUCCCAAAAUAUUAAUUUAAAAUCUGUGUGAAAACUCUUUCAGUUAUAUAUGUUUGAGGUUAUCUGGAUCUUACGUAAUACACUGGACUUUGAGGAUUUAUGUUUAAAAAAAGUCCUCUUUCCCAAAUUUCUUUACCCGAGACACAAUAUAUUAAACAUCAAUCAUUUAUUUAUAUAUAUAACAAGUUGGAUAAGUUUACAUAAAUAAUAUUAAUAAGUAUAUCUCUUAUGACUAUUUUUUAUGAAUAGACAAAACAUUCAAAGGGUUUGUCCUAUAAUUGAAUACCAUCACUCUAUAAAUUCCAUUGUUUAUACUUAAAAAGGAAGUCUUAUCCUUAGAGAGUGAUAAUCAUAUUUUUAUAUUUUGUUGAAUAUUGAGUUUUGUUCUUACAUCUUUAUAAUGUUCUUGAAGAUGUUCAGAGAUCCAUUUGAUUUUGGAUAUGCAAUCUUUAUUAUGUCAUAAUGUUUAAGGAGCUUCAUUCCUAGAUGUUUCCACCUGUCAUCAAAUAUUCACCACCUGAAAUAGUAUAUAUAUAAUUAAAAUUCAAUUCAUUUUAUGAUCAAAAUUAUAAAAUACUUUUAUAACAAUUACAUUUUAUGGUAUUGAUUUCACUCAUAAGAAAUGAAAGAGUAAUUUUAUGAAUCAUAUCUAAUCACACAUUUUAUAAAACUUUUACUAUUAAAUAUAUUUUUUACUUUAUAAAAAUUUAGAAAUUUUGAUUUUAGUUCUUGAUGACUUUUUCUUUACUUUUUGUUCUUAUAAUUUUUUCUUUUAUAAUUUAUUAUUUUUAAUAUAUAAUCUGAAUUCAUUUAUACAUCAAUAAAAACAUAUAAAUUUUUAUAAAAAAUUUAAAAAAUUUAGGGACUACAUGUUUACAUCUAACUUUCAUAAUAAAUAUAUUUGUUAUGAUUUUUCAAAACUUUAAAUGUCUAAAAUAAAUAUUUAAUAGUGGCAAGUAAUUUCCAAUAUGAGAUAUUUUUAUUAUUAAUACUAUAAAAAUUAUAAUAACAAAAACAGUUUUCAUUGGACGUUUGGGCAAUCCUUGCAAAAAGAAGAAAGAAAAAAAAAUCUCAUUGACUGUUUUACAUUGUAACCUUUCAUAAAAAUAAUCAAUUAAGAUCAAAUAGAAAGGGGAUUGACUAAAAAAUUGAGCCAGAACAUAUUAAUUUAAUUAAAAUUAAAAAUUAUUAUGGAAAGUAACGUAUAAUAGAAAAUAAUAAUAGAUGUUUUAAAAAAUAAAAAAUAAAGUAUGAACAUUAAAAAUAUUGGAAGAAGAAUUGUUAAAAUAAAACCAUAAUAUAUAGAGAGGAAACAAAAUAUUAUAAUCAAUGGAGUAAUUUGCCUCUUACAAUUUGUUCUAUACUAAGGGAAACUAAUGAGAACAAGAACACAAAGAUUGAAAUUACCUUGUAAUAACAACUUUUAAAUUAUAAAACAUAAUUUUAAUAUAUAAAUAAGAAAAAUUAACAAAUCCUAAUAAAAAUGCAAGAGCAUGAAUGAAGAAACACGUACCUCAAUUAUGUUAUUACUUAAGAUCAUAACUUUUAUCUUUUUGUUAUUUUAAAAGAUCUUAUAGUAAUUCUAUCUCUGUUUGUUUUAGUAUUUUGCAAAACAAUUCAGUACCUUUUAUAUUGUUUUGGUGAAGAUUUUUGUGAAAUUCAAUUAAUAUAUUUAAUGAAUAUUGAAUACAUACAUAAAGUUUAAUAAAUUGAACGUUAAACAUUUAUUAUAUUCAUUAAACUAAACACGAAUAUACAAAUAUAAAUAAAUAGAAUAUUUAUACUUUUUGUCUUGUAUAUAACUAUAUUUAUAGUGUAUUUUAAUAAUGUUAGCAAACUAGUUUCUAACUUAUUUGGUUAACUUAUAAACUAGUUUAAUUAACACCAAAAGUAUUUGAGAAGAACCUUAAAAUAAAUAUAUUUUAAGAUCUUUAGUUUAUAAGUUAUACAUUACUUCAAUUAACUUAUAGUUUAUUUAAUUAUUCAUUACCAUAGGUAUAACCACUCGGUCGGCCACCAAACGGUCCACCAUCCAGCAAGGAACCUAUCGAUCCAGAACAAUCAUUAACUGGUAAUUAAUUUGGGCAAUAAUAACUGCUAAUGAGCAGUUAAUGAAAAUAAUUGACACUGAUUGACAAUUUAUAUGAAUAAUGUCAUUUAUUAGUAGUAAAUGAGUUAGACCUAAGGGCAAACUCCCUAUAAUAUCUGUCAGAAAAGACAAGUAAAGGGGAGAAUUCUGAUAACUAAUUUUUAUUAUGCAGAGUCACUAACUUGCUUCGCAGUAUCUUUAAUAAACACCUUCCCCGCGUCUAGGACAAGGAGAAGAGAGAGAAUAAAAUAACGCAACUGGAAGAUGGAGCGGACAACUUUGAAUAUUUUGGACUAAAUCUCAAUCCUAUUGAAACAUUUUGACACCCACUAUGAAGCCGAGUGACAUCCUCUAUAAUCAGAGAACCAGACAAACGUUUGGUCUCAACAUCACUGCUUCAACCAGACUCCUAUCGGUUAAUCCUCAUCAGUGACAAUAAAAGUUUUAACACCAAUGUCAACCAACUUUGGCAUGUGCGGGUACUGAACUUUAUUCAAUUUCUUGGGGUGUCUUCGGUAUCACGGUUUCCUGGAAACUAACUAUUGACAUUUAUAAAAAAAUAAAAUAGAAAAAAUUACAGUGUCAUAUACUACACACCACACUCGACAGGACAGAUUCACACCAUGCCCCGUGCCAUAAUUUCUUCAUUGUCAACGAUUCCAGCAAUUAGCCAACCAAUAUCUUUAAAGUGGUUUUAUUUAUACAAAAUAAUAGUUUUUUCUCGCUUCUGAUUUCUUAGUCAAUUUCGAAGAAAAUUAUAUAUCAUAUUUUGAAGAAAUAAAACUUUUGAGAAAACAUGGAAAUUUAUUAUGGGUCUCGAUAUUUUGACAACAAAAUUUGACACACUUUUAAAAACGCCACGUGUCACCAUGUUAUUGGUUGGUUUUUUUUUUUAAAAAAAAAAACUUAAAAUUUGAAGUCACCAUUGAGGAAUGAUUCAGAAAUUUUGGAUUCCAGAUAUACCCUUGCCCUGUUUCAUCUCUCUCCAUUCUCUAAUAUUUCCCCUAUUCUACCUCUCUUCAUAUUUUGUUCUUUAUCUUUUCGUUUUCGUUCUUCCUCCAUUUUUGUCCUCGAAGCUUUGUUCAAGGUCCUUUCUUUUGUUGACAGUGUUGUGUGCAAUGGCAAUGUCCAGUGACCAUGGUCCUUCGAGCAAGGUAAACGGGUUUAUCCAUUUUGUUGAUUGCAUUUUCGAUUUGUAUUUGAGUUUUCGAUUUUUUUAUUGCAUUUUCGAUUGGCAUGUGGUUUCUUGUUUGAGUUUUGUAUGUUAUGAUAUAUUCAAUGAUCUUUGAUGAGAAUAUGAAUGGUUGUAUACUAUGAUAUAUAUUGUUAAAUUUCAGGUUGAUGAUGAUGUUGGUACUUCAAGCAAAGAAACCUUUUUUUCUUCUGUGAAGACACCAGCUACUAAAGUUAGAGAGGAUACGAAGGAGAGGAUAAGAAGGAGGACCAACCAACACCAAAAAACAUACAAAAAAGAAAAUAUAAAGAAAGUUUUAUGCGUGCUUUAGUGGAUCACUAAAACGUUACAAGAGCAGAGCGCUUAGGACUCCAUACAUUGGAAAUAAAGCACUUAGAAUCCGACAUGAGUGAUUUUAGUAUUGAUUUGCAUAGAAAGUCAUACAACAUUAUACAUAGAUGAACAAAUAAGUGUAAUGUACCCAAUUUUGUUCAAUGUUAUAAAAGAUGCAUCUUUGCUUCCGUUAAUUAUUGUUAAUGUUAAUUGAAUUGUUGUUCCAUUCGUUAUUGUCAUUGUGAAAUGAGGUGUUGUUUGGAAUGUGAAUGAAGAAAGUAGCCAACUUGAUUGAGUAGUCAUGUUUGUGAUGGAGGAAAGAAACAAUGUUUGUGAUGUAGGCAAAAAACACACUGGUAAACGAUUACACGAGUAAAAAUUGGCUUUUGUACAGAAACUUGUACUCUAGGAGCCAGUUGUAGGCACAUAAGUAGCCAAAGGUAAUUUGAGUGAAAUAACAUGUUGUCAACUUUGACCUUUGCUGACAAUUUUAAUGAUAACUUUUCCCACUGACCUCCAAAUGAUGCGAUUAUUAUUUUUUAGAAACUAGACUAAAAAAUCUUUCCAAUAAAUACUAAUUUGUAAUUUUUGGACAUCUAAGUAAGUACAAUUUAUUCCUUAAAGUUAAUGCUUCAUACAUUCUUGUCAACUCUGACCUUUGUAGGUUGUUUUGCUCUCAACUUUCUCCACAGUACUCCAAAUUAGUUGAUUCUUGUUUUGUUGGAAUCUAGGCUCAAAUAUCUUUCAAAUGACUACCAACCCAUAAUUUUUAGACCACCGUACUAGAUGCAUUUAAUUUCUCAAAGAAUACAUUUUUCUAAGCUUCCUAAAUGAGUUUACUUUCAAUUUAUUGUUUCAUGUUUCUUAUUUUAGAUGGUUGUUAACGGUUGAAACACAGUUAUUUUCAAAUGUCAAUUUAGACCUAAUUACUCCCUUUACUACUUGGAAUGAGCUUAGAAUCAAGCAAAACUCAAUAAAUGAGUCUGUAGAGAGUCAAAAGUUAUUUUUAGAGAUAUUAUGCUUGUUUUGCAUUGUUUUGUAGCAGUUUUGAGAAAGUGAAGAAUGGAGUUGAAGAUCAAGGUCGUAGACUCAAGAAAAGAGAAGAAAAUUGAAGAUUUGAAGAGUCGACGCACCGCCUAGAGGCAACUUACACCGCCAGGCGGUCCAGGGCGAGGAGUAGGCACUGGCGUUGGCGCUGGGCGGUUUUGAGGGAAACCGCCGGGCGACAGCUUACACCGCCGGGCGGUUUGGAGGUUUAUGGGAAACCGCCGAGCGCCACACUUGUUUCGUCGGGCGGUGGUCCGCUGGGCUUAGGCUUGUUUUUUGUUGCACUCCUCACCUAUAAAUACCCCUAUUUCGAGUUCAGAGAUAUUCUUUUGACAGGGGAAGAUGGUCAGACCUAAUUUUGCUCUCUGGAGAGGAUCUCUUGGAUGCUUAGGUUCUUUUUAAUCUUUUCUAGGGUUUGCUUUUCCAUUCUCCAUCCAUUUUUCAUCUAGUUUCACCAUGACUAUGGUGAACUAAACCCUAUUGUUGUUGGGGGAAACAAUGUAAUCUUUUGAUACUCUCUUUUAUUGAAACUCUUGNUUAUUUAUAUGNUNUNCAUAUGUNUUGAUUNNUAAUUGUUGGGUUNUCAUCUGUGCUUAANGCNUUUAUCGUUUAACUCAUUCGAUAAUUGUUGUUUGUCUUUAUUGAUACGGGGACGUACAGUACUGUCAUGAACUGGUGAGUAAUUCCUUGGUUAAGCAAUACCACCUAGGGAUAGGGGUAGGACGACCAAUUGUUUGUCACUUCUGUUCUAUAAUGCAUUAUUAAUUGCUAAGGGAGGCUAGGGAUAGCAAUCCAAUAAUUAGUAAUAGGCUCUUUUCGCCGAGGGAUCGGGUUAAGGGUAGGCCAAGAAAGUUGCAUGACAAUUAGAUAAUCAAGCACAUUAAACAAGAGGAGUAGAUAAGAGAGAGCGGAUUAAGAUGAAAUUGUAAACCCCCAACAACUAAAUUCAUCCAUUGUUUUCUUCUUGUCAAUUGAAUCAUUCUCUUUUGCAUGUUUAUAUUUGAUUCUCAUACCCAAUUAAUUAAUUUUUAUUUUCAAGUCUUACUCUUUUAAUUCACGCGAACGAUAAGGCCUUUCGAGUCUCUUGGGAAACGAUACUUGGACUUACCAUUUUAUUAUUACUUGAACGAUUUGGUACGCUUGUCAAUCCGUUAACAAUGGUAAAUGACAAAUUAGUAGUCACUGGAAAGAUUUUUGAGUCUAUUUUCUAAUAAAAAAGGAAUCAACUCAUUUGGAGUUCGGUGGAGAAUGUUAAAAGAAAAACAACCAGCAAAGGUCAGGGGGGGUAAGAAUAUAUAAAAUGUUAACUUUAAGGAAUUAACUAUACCUACUCAAAUGUCCAAAAAUUAGAAAUUAGUAGGCAUUGGAAAUAUUUUUGAGUCUAUUUUCUAAUAAAAAAGAAUCACAUCAUUUGGAGGUCUGUUGGAAAAUUUAUGAUUAAAAUAGUCAUCAAACGUCAAAGCCCCGUAUAUGUUUUUGAACGAAGGUAGAUGAAGUCUAUGACCAUUUUUGCCCAAGUUAUGCCUUGGUAAUCUAGUGAAGGCCAUUUUGGCCAUUGUAAUCGAUUACAAGGACUCUGUAAAUGAUUACACGAAAAAAAAAUCUAGUUUUGUACAAAAAGUUGUGCUGCAGGAGCCAACUGUGGCCACAUAAGUAGCCAAAGAAAUUUUAUGUAAGUUUUUCAUAUUUUUUGAAUGGAUGGGACUUCUUUUUAGUGUGAGUACAUGGUUGCGGAAAGAAUCAAUGUUGGUUUGAUGAUCAUGUUAGCUAAGUCAUGAACCCAACUUUGAGAACGUCACUCCCCAAAGGCAAUUUAAGUGAGAUAACAUGCUGUCAACUUUGACCUUUGUUGAUUAUAUUAAUCAUAACUUUUCCCACAGACCUUCAAAUGAUGUGAUUCUUUUUUUAUUAGAAAGUAGACUCAAAACUAUUUCCAAGGACUACAAAUUUGUGAUUUUUGGACAUCUGAGUAGGUGCAGUUAAUUCCUUAAAGUUAACGUUUUACACAUUCCUGUCAACUCUGACCUUUGCAGGUUGUUUUGCUUUUAACUUUCUCCACCAAAAUCCAAAUGAGUUGAUUCUUGUUUUGUUGGAAUCUAGACUCAAAUAGCUUUCAAAUGACUACCAACCCAUAAUUUUUAUACCACUGUACUAGAUGUAGUUAAUUUCCCAAAAACAAUGUUUUUCUAAGUGUGAUUUUAGUGUGGGAAAUCAAGUUUGGACACCUCAUGUUCGAGAUAAGAAACAUUUUUUUUUCAUUUGAACAAAUUAGUUGAAGUCCUGCAAGGUCUGGAGCAAAAACAAAGUUAUAAUCGUUUACAACUACAUGGUAAAUGAUUACACGAACAAAAAUACGAAUUUGUACAGAAAGUUAUACUACAGGAGCCAGUUGUGGUAAUGUAGGGGACCAUAGUCUAAAAUUUUGUAUUUUUUGCAUAAAUGCAAUGGUUUUUGUGUGAUUUUGUUGUUUAAGUGUGAUUUUAGUAUGGGAAAUCAAGUUUGGGCACCCCAUGUUCGAGAUAAGAAACAAUUUUUUUCAUUUGAACCUAUGUCGUUGAGACCGAGAAGUCAUAAAUGUACUUUUAUUCAAAUAUAAAAAUUAAAGGACAUGAACAUAAAUUGAUGUUGCAUUUUGUGGUUCAUGUUGGAAACAGGUUGGCUUCUUUCUUCACCAAGAGGGGGGGGGGNNNNNNNNNNNNNNNNNNNNNNNNNNNNNNNNNNNNNNNNNNNNNNNNNNNNNNNNNNNNNNNNNNNNNNNNNNNNNNNNNNNNNNNNNNNNNNNNNNNNNNNNNNNNNNNNNNNNNNNNNNNNNNNNNNNNNNNNNNNNNNNNNNNNNNNNNNNNNNNNNNNNNNNNNNNNNNNNNNNNNNNNNNNNNNNNNNNNNNNNNNNNNNNNNNNNNNNNNNNNNNNNNNNNNNNNNNNNNNNNNNNNNNNNNNNNNNNNNNNNNNNNNNNNNNNNNNNNNNNNNNNNNNNNNNNNNNNNNNNNNNNNNNNNNNNNNNNNNNNNNNNNNNNNNNNNNNNNNNNNNNNNNACAGGUUUUUAUACUGGUUCGGCCAACAAUGCCUACAUCCAGUGUCCUUCCAACCCAGGAAGCAAAUACACUAUAAUGGUUGCGGUUUUUACAACAAGAAAUCUAUAGAAGACCUCCAUGUCAAAAAUAUAAAUCUCCUCUCUAAUCCAAAACCAAAAUAUAGGCAAUAAACCAGCAAGACUUGCAGCAAGAAUCCCCUCUUCUGCAAUCUGCCAACACAUUGAAUAAUCCCAAAGUGCACUAUCCCCUGCAAUCAACAAGUCAAAAACCAGCAGUCUUCACGGAUGCCAAGCCGCACAAUCAAUUCCAGCAGUCUUUACAGGAUGCCAAGCAUUCACGAUCAAUCACAGAACACCUUCUUGUGCAGAUAUUGAUCAGACAAUGAAAGCGCAAUAUAAUCUCCUCUUUGAAUCUUUUUCAAGAAAGAUCGACACUGUCUUCUUGGAGCUAAGAGAAAUCUGAAACAAAAAUGAAAUUGUCAGUUCAUCAAAAGUCUUCUAAACAAACUUGUGUUCAGCCUAUUUAUAGAUUUUUGUUAGUCAGAUGAUUUCUCAAUCUAAUACGCUACUAAUUCAGUCGACUGGAUUAUGACAGUUAUAACAGAACGAUCAACGUAGCAGCUUUCAGUCAACCACAAAAAAACCACAUUUAAUACGGUUGACUAAGUCACUAAUGCUCAACUAACUUUCAAAAAUAUAGCCGUUAGAGUGUAAGAGCAUAACAAAAUUUCAAAUCAGACAACAAAUACAAUCGAAUGUGUAGCACACAUAGUCGACUAUCAACAUGUAAAACAUUUUGAAAUUUUUUUCUUCUCAAAAUAACAUAGCACUGAUUCUGAAAAUCUGUACAAAGAUUUUAGCAUAAUCGAAUCCAUUAGUAAUGUAGUUGACUGUACUAUCACUUUGUCACAUAAGAAUAAGUUCAUAAAAGUGUUCAUGAUUUUCAGCUUUAAAACAUGUGCAGUAAAACAUAUGAAAUUAUGCAUAGCACAUAACACAUUAAAGCAUGUAAACACGUUCCAAAUAUAUAUCAAUCAAUAAACAUAGGAACAUGUAACACAAUACAUAAACAUGUUCAACAUAUAUUACAAUUAAUCAGCAUAAGAACAUGUAAUGCAGCAACAACAUGUGCUUGUUAUUAAGGAAUGUGUUGUCAUCAUCAAAAACUAGAUUGAUAUAGAAAUUGUGUUGUCAACAACCUCAACAGUUCACACUGGUAUUGCGUGGUUAACAUUACAAUUACAUCCAUUAAUGUGAACUUCAACUAUAACAUCAUUCUAAUGGUGGUCAACCUCGAAGACAACAACAUCUCCUUCCUUUAAGCCAUAUUGGAUGCAAAAUUCUUUCCAUCCUUUUCCAAACAUUGUUGAAUUCCUAGUCUGUGAAACUAAAACUUUGCACAUGAUGUCAUCCUUAUAACCAAGAAGCAUAACCUCUGUGAACCCUUUGUUCCUAACAUUGUUUUUUGGGAUGCCAUUGGACCUGUAAUUAUAACAUAAAAAAAACAAUGUCGACAACAUGGUUAGGGUUUGCGAAAUAAGAAAACGUCAAUGUUGGAGAAGAUGGUUAGAGUUCGCCCAGUUCUACUUACCAAAAAAUACCACCACAACGAGAAGGCACAAGACAAAGAUGGGAAAGGGCUUCAAUGGUGCACAAGUCGGACGUCCAAGACAGCGAGAUAGACCAAAGAACGAGAGAGAUGACAGAACGACAUAGAUGAGAGAACGCCAGAGAUGAGAAAAUGCGAGAAAGAUGAGAGAACGCGAGAGAGAUGAGAGAGAAAAGUGCGAAUGAAUGAUGAAUAGGGAAACCGUGAAACAAAAAUUCGUAUUUUCCCUUCCCAUAAUACCCUCGCCUAAUGAAAAGCCAUUUCAUUCUCUUUUUUUUAAAGAUCAACCAAUGGACAACCAUCACGUGACGUUGUCAAAAUUGUGUCAAGAAAACGUUGUUAAAGUAGCGUUUUUUAUUUAUUAUUUACUUCCAUGUAAGCAUCUAUCAUCUUUUUAUUGACCCGCUGUUGUGAUAAUCCUUUAUAGGACAUUUUGUUUGAUUUGCUGAAAUAAAAGGUGAUAUUUAUUAAGGCUUAUGCGUCCAUAAUGAGCUUCGUGCACUGGCCCAAGACCGGCAAACGCCCUUCGAUGCUCAGGUGGUUCUGGUGGUAGGCCACCAAACGGACGACAAGAGCGCCCUAGGGGAGGCCAUGAUGGGGUUUCAGUUCAAAUACGUUGGAGGCAACACCAAAACCCGUGGGCCUAUCACCCUCCACGUGAAAUGCGACCCCUAUUAUAAGUCCCAUUCUUGUUGUCGCUGAAAGGGUCAUUCAUUCGAUAGCCAGUGAGAUCCUCGCUGCUACGCAGGAUGAGUUUUGUUGCCUCUCCAUAAUGGUUGCCAAGGUUAGGGCCAAGCACGACGAGGAAGUGUGCGAGAAAUCGCUGAAGGUGGUCGCGGAGGUGCCCGCCGUUGCCGUAGUGAGCGUCGAGUUGCAUCGGAUGCAGGCGGACGUAUAACAACUUGUGGUGGUGAAGAAGGGGCUUGCGGCGUAGUGGGUAGUGACCAUAAAAUCCAAUCAUAGGCGGUUGGCGUUGUUUCCUCAUUUUGGCCUUCCAGUUAUCUCGCUGGUUCGGUUAUCCGACCUUAUAACUCAAACUAGCUUAAUUUUAUUGGUUAUACUUUUCUAACAAUUCAAAUUCAAAUUGUAUUUCUUCAUUGUAGAUGAUAGUAUCCUGCGUACAAACCACUCAUCCAAGUGAAUUAAAUCAAAUGGAGAAAUACUAUUUUUAUGACUAAUAGGAUAAGAUGCACGAUGGUGUUUUGAAAAUUGACAAAUAUCACAAUUAAAAGACUCAACAGAUUCUUUGGUAAACAAGUGGGGAAAUAAGGACUUGAUAAGACUGAAUGAAGGAUGUCCAAGCCUUUGAUGAUGUAACCAUAUUUGGGAUUUUGCCCACGUCUCAGAUGUUGCUUGUUGACUCAUGAUUUUCGUGUUACUUUGGUCAUCAAACUCUAAAAAAUACAACCCACCUUGCUCCUUAGCAGUUAAAAUUGUCUUCCCCGUGGCAAGGUCCUGAAAAACACAAUAAGUUGGAAAAAAUCUUACUGAGCAAUUUAAAUCCUUUGUGAGUUUUUGCACAGAGAUAAGAUUGUUAGCUAAUUAAGGAACAUGUAAAAUAUCAUUGAAUACAAUAGAUGGGUCCAAAAUUAUAUUCUUAGAGUCGCAUAUAGGUAUACCCUGACCAUUCGCAACUGUAAUAAGUUGUUCUUUAUUUCUUACCAUAUGAGUCGAAGGACACACUAAAAGGUGUCAUAUGAUCAGUUGCACCCGAAACAAGGAUCCAAAUACCUUGAGACACAUGAUCAACAAUAUUGAGGCAAAUCUUACCUUUUAUGGACAAAGUACAUGAUCCAGAGGGCUUACUCAUUGAUUCAUCCACUGUUUUGAAAUGAAUAAUUUUUACUUAAGACAACCCAUAGAACGCAACCAGGAAUCUCCAAGACGACGACGACAUAUGAGUCACACCGAGAAAAACGGAGCAGAACUUAAAAGCUCAGAUCUACUCAAGAAAAGGUCAAACGAGUCGUCACAAACCCUAUGAACAGACUCAAAAGGCUCUGGUAAGUCCAAGUAUCGUUUCCCAAGAGACUCGAAAGGCCUUAUCGUUCGCGUGAAUUAAAAGAGUAAGACUUGAAAACAAAAAUUAAUUAAUUGGGUUUUGAGAACAAAAUAUAAACAUGCAAAAGAGAAUGAUUCAAUUAACAAGAAGAAAACAAAGGAUGAAUGGAGUUGUUGGGGGUUUAAAAUUUCAUCUUAUCUGCUCUCUCUUAUUUACUCCUCUUGUUUAAUGUGCUUGAUUAUCUAAUUGUCAUGCAACUUUCUUGGCCAACCCUUAACCUGAUCCCUCGACGAAAAGAGCUUAUUACUAAUUACUGGCUUGCUAUCCCUAGCCUCCCCUAGUAAUUAAUAAUGCAUUAUAGAACAGAAGUGACAAACAAUUGGUCGUCCUACCCCUAUCCCUAAGUGGUAUUGCUUAACCAAGGAAUUACUCACCAGUUCAUGACAGUAUUGUAUGUCCCCGUAUCAAUAAAGACAAACAACAGUUAUCGAAUGAGUUAAAUGAUAAAAGCAUUAAGCACAGAUGAGAACCCAACAAUUAAUAAUCAACGCAUACGAAAAUCAUGUAAAUAAACAAGAGUUUCAAUAAAAGAGAGUAUCAAAAGAUUACAUUGUUUCCCCCAACAACAAUAGGGUUUAGUUCACCAUAGUCAUGGUGAAUCUAGAUGAAAAAUGGAUGCAGAAUGGAAAAGCAAACCCUAGAUAAGAUGAAAAGAAGCCUAAGCAUCCAAGAGAUCCUCUCCAGAGAGUAAAAUUAGGUCUGGCCGCCCUCUUCUGUCCAAAGAAUGUGUUCAAAUUCGUAACAGGGCUAUUUAUAGCUGAGGAGCGCAACAGAAAACAGGCCCAAGCCCAGUAGACAACCGCCCGGCGGCGCACUUAUGGCACCCGGUGGUUUACCCUAAAUCGCUCCACCGUCCAGCGGUAGGGGUUUACCGCCCGGCGGUUUGCCUUGAAUCGUGCCACCGCCCGGCGGCAGGGCUUUACCACCCGGCGGUUUGUCUCUAGUCGCAAAUUCGCCCAGCGUCCACGCCUAGUGCCAACUCCUCGCUCUGGAUCGCCCAACGGUGUAAUUUGCCACUGGGCGGUGCGUUGACUCUUCAUUUCUUCAUUUUUCGUCCCUUUUCUUGAGUCUAAGACCUUCAUCUUCAGCUCCAUUUUUCACUUUCUCAAAAAUGCUACAAAACAAUGCAAAACAAGCAUAAUAUCGCUAAAAAUAGCUUUUGACUCUCUACAGACUCAUUUAUUGAGUUUUGCUUUAUUCUAAGCUGAUUCUAAGCCUUAAGGGAUGUAAUUUGGUCUAAAUUGACAUAUGAAAAUAACUGUUUUUCAACCUUUAACAGUGGGUCAGACUAAAAAAAAGAGCAGAACUUAAAACUCAGAUCUACUCAAAUAUAGGUCAAACGGGUCGUCGCCGACCCUAGGAACAGACUUAGGAGUCUCCGACGAGCCUUUCUGUGGCGGCGGCGACGAGUGGGUCUCGUCGGAGGUGAGCACGUGGGCUACACGCGCCGAAGACGGUGGAGGCACGUGGCGGCUCCUCUAACGGAGCGACUUCUGGCGUUGUGGUUAUUGGAGUUGGGCAUACCUUUCUACCCUAUCAACGACCCCAAACGGCGACGGCGACAACGACGGUGCAACAACGUUUAUGGUCACCGGAGUUGGACACACCUUUCUGCCCUAUCAACGACCCCAACCGGCAAUGGCGGCAGCGACAUUGGACGGAUACCGGCGGCAGCACGACUAUGCAGCGGAAGAAGGAUUUUAAUCCUAACUUCCAUACCCUUUCCUUAGCCUUUCAGAAUAGGAACUCGUGGACUGUGAUAAUACUAAUUGUAGUGUAUGGAGGUAGCGGGAGUAAGAGGUGGAUCGGGUGGAGGGAGAAACGGAUCGGGUGGAGGGAGAAAAUGAUCGGUAGGGGUCAGCUGGGGUGGAGGAAAGAUGGAUCGGCAGGAGGGCAGGUCGGUUGGAAGGAGAAAGCGAUCAUUUGAAUUGCGUAGGGAGUUAGCGGGGGUAAGAGGAAGAUCGGGUGGAGGGAGAAACGGAUCGGGAGGAGGGAGAAAGUGAUCGGUAGGGAUCAGGGGGGGUGGAUGGCAGACGGCUUGAGAGAAGAAAGUGGUCAGUGGAAGUGGGGAAGACAUGUGAUACGUGGGGUAAUGAGGUGUAUACUGGAUCGGGUGGAGAGAGAAAUGGAUCGGGUGGAGAGAGAGACGGAUCGGGAAGGAAGUGAAAAGGGGAAAAGGAAUGCACUAGGAUAGGCACGUGGCAAAAGGCGAGGAUUCAGGGAGUUAAUGCGUAUAUCGUAACGGAUAGGAUGAUGGGAGCGGAGAUCUCGGAAGUGAGGCGCGGCGGUUACGCGAACCAGCGAGAUACUCAGGGUCACGAAUCGGUGGUUACAGGUAAUGGGCCGCCCAAAGGUAAAGUUGAGGCCUAUAAAUACAGGCGUUUGAAGAGAGGUAAGGGACUUUUGGAUCUUUCUACUUUUAACUCUGAAUUUAGUGGUGAUUUGGCUGACUUGGGCGUUGGAGUGCUAACUUGCAGGUCACCACCCGUUCAGGUGUUCAGGGAGAGGAGGUCGGUCGGCUUGAGUCUUAUCUCGGGUCCAUAUCCGAAACAUUUUGGCGCCCACCGUGGGGCCCGAAGAUUUAACAAAAACCCAAGCACGAUCACAAUGGCAGAGGAUGCAUCGUUGCAGCUUUUGCAAGAAUUGCAGAGGCAAAUGCAAGAGAUGCGGGCAGAAAUGGCAGCGAUGAGGGCUGAACGAGCUAACCGAGGAAACGAAGAGGGUGGACCGUCCAUUCAGUCGGUGAAUGUUGAAACGGUCCAUUCAGAGAGUGAUGAAGGGGACAACCCUUUGGUGCAGGGGGUGGAGGUCAGGGGGGACCCGAAUCCGGUGAAUGUCGCACGGGGGGGUAGAGGAGUAGGUAGAGGAAGAGGGCGAGCGGAGAGAGGAAGAGGCCGGGGAAGGGGACGAGGGAGACGUUGGGAAACAGAAAAUUUCGAGGAAGUGGAGGAAAGGCAGAAUGAGAGAGGGGAUCGGCCCAACGAGCCCGUAGAUCGGAUGCAUGAGGCGAGGGAGAGAGCUCACGAAUAGGGGGAUCCAAUUCCUGAUCAAGCUGAAGGACUCCACCCGUUCACACCACGGGUAAUGAGAGCGGUCAUACCGGAAAACAAAAUGUUACCCCCUCUAGACAAGUAUGGAGGCUCAUCCGAUCCCAUCAAACAUCUUCGGUCAUUCGUGGAUGCUAUGGCGGUGUACUCUACUGAUGACCUAGUGUGGUGCAGGGUUUUCUCCCUGUCCCUGAAGGAAGAAGCUCUAGACUGGUUUCAUUCGUUGCCACCAGCUACCAUUGAUAGUUUUGCUACCUUGCGACAAAUAUUUAGCCAACAAUAUGCCUCGAGUAAAACACAGGGAGUAACAUUUACAGCUCUAGUGCGGAUGAGACAAGGGCGGGACGAGUCACUGAGGGCGUUUAUGGAUCGGUUCAACCGAACGGCUAGACAAGUUAGAAAUGCUGAUCAAAGAUUGAUUGUGGGAGCACUGACGGCAGCAUUACGACCUGGACCAUUUUUUGAUUAUCUACAUGCGGAGGAGCCACAGAGUAUGGAGGAGUUGCAAGACAGGAUGGCAAGCUUUAUCAGAAUAGAGGAGGGGCGAGCGCAUCAACGGGGGAGGGAAGAAAGUGAUAUGCAACAUAGAGGAAGCAGGGAGAGGGUGAUAAAACAGGCGGUCGGGAGAGUGGAUAGGGGAAAUGAGCGCAAGUGGGGAAAUUCUCAGAGGAUGCAACGGUAUGUACAUCAUACACCUCUGAAUCUCCCUCGAGCACGCGUGCUGGAGGAGGCUUUGAGAGCGAAUUUGAUGACUACGAUCCAUGCUCCAACUCCCCUUGGUGCGGAUGAAAGCAAGUAUUGUCGAUACCACCAGAACAGGGGACACACUACUGAGGAUUGUGUGGCUUUGAAGGACAAAUUGGAGACACUGGUGCAAGCAGGGCAGUUGAAGAGGUUUGUGUAGAGAACGAACAGGUAUCCUUCGGGGGAAAAUAGGCGGGGAGGACCGGGCAGGUCCUCAGGGGUGCAACACCGUUCAGAUAACAACCGAAGUCGGAGUCGGAGCCCCAACCGAACGGUGAGAGGAGUUAUCAACACUAUUUCGGGGGGAUUUGCAGGAGGGGGCCCAACCUCUUCGGCUAGGAAGAGACAUUUGAGAAACCUGCAAAGUGUACGCAGAACGGGAAACAACAGGAGAUCCAUGCCCCCAAUUACUUUUUCCGAUAUGGAUUUCCAUGCACCGGACCUCGAUCAAGAUGACCCAAUGGUCAUAACCACUAUGAUUGCACGAUACCAGGUUGGGAAAGUUCUGGUGGAUCAGGGGAGUUCGGCGAAUAUACUAUACUGGAAGACGUUCAAACGCAUGGAGAUCUCUGAAGAUGUAAUCAUGCCGUUCGAUGAGCAGAUAGUGGGAUUUGCGGGAGAAAGGGUGGAUACAAGGGGGUAUGUGGAUCUGAGGACCAGCUUGGGUGUAGAUGAUAGAGCCAAAGAACUCAAGAUCCGUUUUCUGUUAGUAGAUGCCGAGACUUCCUACAAUGUCCUCUUGGGAAGGCCAUGUUUAAACGCCUUUGGCGCUAUCGUCUCAACACCCCAUUUAACACUGAAGUAUCCUGGUGAUAAGGGGGANAUAUGUACCGUUCGGGCAGAUCAGCGAAUGGCUCGGGAGUGUUACGCAACAAGGCUAAAGGUAAGACCAAGAGUCAGUGAAGCAACCCGAAACGGAUCCGAGGUGGCCAUGAUGGAGCUUGACCCUCGUUCUCCAGUGGAGGAUCGAGUCGAGCCACUAGGGGAGGUCUUGGCGUUUAAGAUUGGGGAGAGGGAGGGGCAGUCGACCAUGAUGGGAGGUAAUUUGAGCGCUGAACAGGUGAGGGUUGUUGGGAACGUAUUGUUGAGGAAUAAGGAUCUGUUCGCAUGGACGGCAGCUGAUAUGUCGGGCAUCCAUCCGGACGUCAUAUCUCACAAACUGUCAUUAUUUAAGGACGCCCGACCGGUGUCCCAGAAGAAGAGGAGAUUGGGGGAGGAGAAGAGAAGAGCGGUGGAUGAUGAGGUGAGUAAAUUGCUAGAAGCAGGAUUCAUUCGAGAAGCUAAAUACACCACAUGGUUAUCUAAUGUGGUUAUGGUGAAAAAGUCGAACGGGAAAUGGAGAAUGUGUACUGACUUUACGGACUUAAAUAAAGCCUGCCCAAUAUUGAUUUAUUUUAAGGGGCAUUUGGAAGAGAAUCUCUUAAGGGAUUUUGAGAUUGUAAAAGUAAAAUUUUACCUUUCUAUAAGCACUUUUGAGAUUGUAUAAGCUAUUUUUUUUUUAUCUUAUUUUAGCAGGCUUCACAAUGAAAAUGUGAAUAAAUUUUUAUUAAGCUCUCAUGUGCUUUCUUGUGUUGCUUAUCCUAAAAGGCCUUUAAUAUUAACUUGGGUGUUGCUCCCUCCACCUUCUCAAGUGGGUCCUGCAUCUCUCCACUAUUUUAAUUUAUUUCAAAAAUAUUCUACACCUCCCAUUAUUUUAUUUUAUUCCAAAAAUACCCUACACCUCCUAUUAUCCUUAAUAAUCUUUCUCUUUCUCUCUUUACAUUAAUGGAGCAUUUAAUGAUUCAGAUUUGAAUUUGUGAUACAUUACAAAAUAUAAAAUUCAGAGGAAACUUCAAUAUUAGUACUUCUACCAUCUCUAUUUUAUAAAAUUAAAAGUUAGAUGCAAAUACAAAAUAAUAAACAUAAUAAAAUUAAUAGUAAAAAAUGAUAUAUUAUUAUUAUUAUAUACUAACUUUAUAAUGACGAAAAAACUAAAUAAAUUCUAAAUCUUUAACAAAUAUUUUUUUUAGGUUAAAUACCUUUUUUGGUCCCAGUUUUGGUUACGAAUAUUCAAAUUGGUCCCCAUUUUAUNUUUCUGUUCAAUAUAGUCCUAAAGAACGUAAUUAUGUUCAAUUUAGUCCUUUUUAUGUUCAAUGUAGUCCUAAAGAACGUAAUUUGUGUUCAAUUUAGUCCUUGUUUGUGGUUCACGGAGUUUGUAAAAAGGACUAAAUUGAACACAAAUUNCGUUCUUUAGGANUANAUUGAACAGNAAAANGACUAAAUUGAACAUAAUUACGUUUUUUAGGACUAUAUUGAACAGAAAAAUAAAAUGGGGACCAUUUCGAAUAUUCGUAACCAAAACUGGGACCAAAAAAGGUAUUUUACCUUUUUUUUAUAUUUUAAGUAUUUAAUAAUAUUUUUAUAUUAUUUAUCUAAUAAAUUAAAUAUUUUAUUCAAGUUAUUUGAGUCAAACAUGUUGGUGAGUUAAAAUAUAAUAUAAUAUUAAAAAUUAUAAAUAUUAUAUGUAAAAAAAACACACAUAUAUAUAAACAUUUUUCUAGAAAUUUAGAACAAAAUUUUAACAUUUAUUAAGUAAUUUGAAAAGAAAAAAAAUAUUCAAUAGCGAAAAUAAGAUUGAAUCAAAUUUGUUUAAUAAAAUAUAUCACAAGUUCAAAUUUGAGUCAUGUAAAUGCUCCAUUAAUGAAUAAUGUAAAUGCUCCAUUAAUGUAGAGAGAGAAAGAGAAAGAUUGUUAACAAUAGUGAGAAUGUAUAGGGUAUUUUUGGAAUAAAAUAAAAUAGUAGAAAUGUGUAGAAUAUUUUUGAAAUAAAUUAAAAUAGUGAGGAAAUACAGGAUACGCUUGAUUGGGGAGGUGGAGGGACCAACACCCUAUUAACUUUGGAAACUCAAAUCCACAAUUCAUUUUUAUAAAAGUUGGAGGAAACAUUUUCUAAAGCUUUCUAAAACUUCUCUUUGGUGCUAGAUUUUUCUGUAGCCUAUACAUUUUGGGAACAACUUAGUUUGGAGGAUAUUCAUUUUAUUAUUUUCUUGAGAAAGCUUUUAAAAGCAAAACAUUUAAUAAGUGAAUACUUUCCUCUAAUUAAUCUUUUCUAUGUGAGUGUAAAUUACAGCUUUCAUGUCGCUUAAAAUUGCAUUCUAUUUCUACUUUUUUUCUAACAGAUGUUCCAUAUGAUUAGCAAAAUAUACCAAGUAAUUCGUAAACUAGUCAUAUUUAUUAUAGGUUUUUUUAUUUUUGCUUCAUUUAUGGUUGUUGUGAAUAUGAGAAUGGUGUGUAUUGUCGUGGAACCGAGUAUUGUUGUCCUAGUGAUUUCCCCAUCUGUGUUACUAAACACGGACUCUCUAUAUCUAUGUUCUAGCCCUCUUUCAUUUUGUAGCAUUGUGAAUGCAAUCAAGAGUUUUCAAUUUUCUGAAUAUACUCGUAAAUUUGUGUUAUGUAGCACCACGAAGAUUGAUGGGAGUUACUACAAAGAAGAAGUUUGGAAGUCACAAGUUACCAUAGAUUAAAUUAGAACAAACAGAAAACACAUUUCAACCCCUUCGAAUGAGGAAUGUUUUCGCUGUAAUGCUUUGAAUUUACUUCUUUCCCUCUUUUUAUGUUUGGAUUUGCUCAAGAAAAAUAAUAUGUUCACACCAUCAUUCAUUAGAUAUGUCUAUUAUAUAAUUACUUAAUAAAAUAUUAUAUUUGGUUCUCUUUGUUGUCAAAUUUGUUUCAAUUAAAUUUGUUCAUUAUAUUAAUUAUAAAUUGAUUGGAUGACAAUUCUAAUAAUCGAUUUUUAAAAUAAAAAACAUAUAUUAUGACGUACAUAAAAUCACAUAUUAUAACGUACAACAAAAUCUAUAUCAUAAUAUCUUUUGUGCAUAUUAUGACCGAUUUCAGAAAUUACGUUCAAGUUAUUAUGAUGUAAAUUUCUCUUACGUUAUAAAAUGCACAAACUUAGUAUAACGUCCAAAACUAUGUUCGAGUAACAAUGUUAUAAUAGGUUGUACGUUAUAAAAUGCCAUUUUCAAUUAGUGUCAUUUAUAUUUCUCUCAAAUUUCGAAAUAUAGUAUAUAUAUCUUUCAAGUUUCCAAAUCUUUUAAACAUUCCUACCAAAUUUCGAUAAACACCGUAUAAUUUAUUUACACAUAAAAAUUUAUAAAUGAUUUAUUAUUAAUAUUAAAACAUUAUAUAAUAAUAUUAAGGGUUAAAUAUGUUUUUAGUCCCUAUACUAUCACGCGAUUUUGGUUUUAGUCCCUCUUUCAAAGUAUGGUACAUUUUAGUCCUCCAACUUAAAGAAAUUGUGGUUUUAGUCCUCCAAAACUAACACCGUUAAAAUUCAUCUGAUGUGGCUAACGGUUGACUAUUGACUGACACAAUUUUAUAAAACAUGGGACCCACAUGUGACCUUAUCCUCUGAACAUCCCCUUACAUACUCACUUUUCCAAUUCUCUCUCUACUUUAUUCUUACAAAUCCAACAACCCCAUUCACUUUUUCUUCAAAUACCCAAAUAAAACCUAUUUUAAUACCAUCACAGACCCAUUUCUCUCAUCUUCUUCCUUUCUUAAAUUUCUUUCUUCUUCUCUAUUUACUAUUUAUUAACCACUCCUAACACUCAUUUUCUUUUAUUUUAUUUUUCUUUCUCAAAACCGAGACUUAAGUAUACCCCUCUCUUGAUCUCUUUAGCAUUUUUUCUGCACUUCUUUCUUCUACUCUUCUCUACCCAAUUUCUUAUUAAUUCUUAAAGAUCCACUCCAGAACCAAACAAAAGAUCUUAGUCUUCUUUCCUUCUCCAUAAAAGAUUUGUGCACCACCACUAAAGGGAUCUUAGUCUUCUUUCCUUCUCUCUCGGCCAACCUUCCCCGUUCAAACAAACCUUUUCUUUCCAACACAAACCUCGUGUGAAAUCCUUUCCUCAUUCUUCCUAUGUAUCGAACAUUCUUUCUCCUAGAUGCAAGGCCCUACUCCUUUCCCAACACUCCACGGUAGGUUCUCCAUAACUAUCUCCAUCCCAACACUUCCAGCAAGAAAGCAAAGGGUGGAAUUACAUGAGUAAAUGUUUAGUCACGUGCCAGUUGCACUCAACACUCAAUCAUAUGCUACGCGGGAAAUCAGAAUUAUUGCCACAGGUUUUCUUCCUUCACUACAGUCCAUAUAUAUGCCAUCAUUCAUUUUCUGCUACAAGGUUUCCGACGAUUUUUUAAAAUAUAAUGGUUUAAUAGAGCGAUUUUGGAUAUAAUAACGUAAGUGGAGUGUAUAAAGCAGUGUUGGGAAACUGUAGUAGAGUUCCCAAAAGAGUGGGAAAUGGGUUUGGGGGGUGAGUGAGUGAGUGUAGUGUUGUGUUGUGUUGGACAUUCUCUGGCACUGAAAAAAGACAAAGACGACAUUCAUGAAAGCAAGAAAAAAAGUCCCGAUUUGACGGGCCAACCCACACGCACAAACGCAUACUUCAUCAUCCCACCCUUCUCCACACGCACUCAUUUCAUUCCCCUUAAUCAAAUCUACACUCAACAUUUUAACAUCUUUUAAUUACUAAUAUAAAACACAUUAUAUAUAUAUAUAUAUAUAUAUAUAUAUAUAUAUAUAUAUAUAUAUAUAUAUAUAUAAAUUACUAUCACUUUACUAUCAUAUUGCGUGAUUGAGAAAUAUCACACACGAGUGUUAUAGAACUCAAAAGAAAGUAUUAAUUAGGAAUAUAUGUUACUGGAAUUUUUUAUGAUCAUUAACUAGAGGAAUAAUUUAUUGCAUACGGUGGUAUUGUGCAUUUCCUUUAAAAUAUAUUUUAGUUUUACUUUGGAUGGUGAGUUGCAUUGCCUUUUACUUUAAUUUAUAGGUGGAAAUUCUUAAGUCAACUACAUCUCAUGAUUUGGUCUUGGUUUUUGCAGGCAACACCUCAUUUCCCACAUCGUCCACUUUACUAAAGUCUCAUCCAAUCCUCUUCUAUAUCAUCCUUUCCCAUUUUCUCUUCUCCACCAUGACUACCAGCAUGAAGGUUAAUCACUUCACACGUGCAUUCUGGGAGCACGAACCCUUCCUCACCCUUGGCUGCAAGGGAUUACGCCCUCUUGCUCCCAAGCUUCCCACCACCACCCCUUCUCUUACUUUCGAUCUCGGACCUUCCUCAGACCAGAAACUGCCGAGAAGACAAGUUUCCUCUCUCCACAAUAACAAGGAUCCACCUUCACCCAAGCCUAGAUUCGUAUUAUUAUCUAAUUAUCACUGUUCAGUUAGGAAAGUAUGGAAAAAUCGAAGGGAAGAAUGUGUUCUAUUGGUUUCAGAAUCACAAAGCACGCGAGAGACAAAAGCAGAAACGUAACAGUCUUGCCUUUUCCUCAUAGUCCUCCAACUCGCCGAUCCCAAAGGUCUCUCCAAGCGUGGUGGUUUUGGUGGAUAUCGAGGGGUGGGCGGAUAUGGCUACAGCAGCAGCUUCGUCGUUCCGACGCAGCGACGCUGGAUGUCUCAACGACUGGGGCAGGAGGGGAGCGGGUGAGGAGUUGAUGCAUCUGCAACUGAAAAUUGAGUGGAAGAAGGAAGGAAGAGACGAGGGAGAGUAAGCGAGAAAAGAUGAAACGCUGAGUCCAGAAAAAAAAAAAUUGUGAGUGUACCGUUAGCCACGUCAGAUGAAUUUUAACGUUAUUACUUUUGGAGGACUAAAACCAUAGUUUCUUUAAGUUGGAGGACUAAAAUGUACCAUACUUUGGAAGAGGGACUAAAACCAAAAUCGCGUGAUAGUAUAGGGACUAAAAACAUAUUUAACCCUAAUAUUAAUGAUGUUAUAACUUAUAAUAUAAUAAUAUUAAUGAUAUAAUUUUCCAUAAUUAUUUAUUGUAUAAUAAUUUAUCAAUUUUUACUAUUUUUAUUUAUUAUAACCAAAUUUAUCAUCAAAAAUAAAUUGUAUCCUUUAAAUAAUUAAUUUAAUUUAAGAUAUUCUUUCAUAUUUAAUCAUUAAUAAUAAUUGAUCUAUUUUUAAAUUAAUAAUAAUUUUUUGUAUGAUAUUAUGGCACGAUACUGUUUCCAACAAUUAAUAAAAAGUUUACAUAAUAAUAAAAAAUUAGAGUUUAUACUUUUACAAAAGUUUCAUGUAAUUUGUGCUUAAUGUUUUUAACUUAUUUUAAUUUCAAAUACAAACACCAAUGAAUACAUACCAGAUUUCAAAAUAAGAAAUUCAUCCUAUUUCUACCUUCCAAUAAAAUAUGCUAAACAUUUACAAAUAAAUAUAUUUAAACAAUGACUAUUUAUUGAAGAAAAUUUACAAAUAAAUAUAAUUAAACAAUGACGAUUUAUUGAAGAAAAUAGUUAAGAAAGAGAAGAAUAAAACAAAAUCUGAUACAAAAAUGAGAUGAAGAUGAACUAAGAUGAAGGAAGCACGUGCCGCUAGGUUUAAGUUAAGAAAACUGAGAGUAAAAAUGGGUGAUAGAUAAUAAUAAAGAGAAAAUUUAGAAGUACAAUAAUAAACUUUCUAAACUUUGGAAGUACAUGAAAUUGUAAGGGUUAAUAAUUAUUUCAAAUUUAAAUAACUUUUAAAAUUUAGUGGUAAUUAAAAAACUUUUAUCCAAAUAAAAGUUAAAAUUCAUUAAAUUUAAUUAUCUUGUACAAACAAAAGAUUUAAAGCAUACAAGUUAAGCUUUUUAAAACGGAAGAAAAGGUAAAUUGGAAGAAUUCCAUACUAUUGUUUGCAGCAAAGAUGUGGCUCUCAAGAAGUGUUAGGGUUUCUCUUCUUCCUUCCAUUGCCAAGUUUCCUCCUUUUCUUCCAAUGCACAAUUCCCUCUUUUGCUCUCACUCUCACUCUCAAACUUCCUUACACGACGAACCUGUCUCACAAUUCAAUCUCUUGCUUCGUAAGCGUCUUGUUCCUCCCAUCUUCGAAUUUGGAAAGAUUUUAGGAUUUCUUGCGAAGAUGAAGCGGUACCCUACUGCUAUUUCUCUUAUUAAGCAAAUGGAGCUCAAAGGAAUUCACAGUAACCUUGUUAUUCUCAACCUCCUCAUCAAUUGUUUCUGUCACUUAGACAAAUUGGUUUUCGCUUUUUCUGUAUUUGCCAAGAUUCUCAAACGGGGUUAUAAUCCAAAUGCCAUAACCUUAACUACACUCAUCAGAGGUCUCUAUGAUAAGGGUGAGGUCAAGGAAGCCCUCAACCUUCACGAUAAAGUAAUAGCGCUAGGAUUUCGGCUCGACCAAUUUACUUACGGCACUCUCAUCAAUGGACUGAGCAAGAUAGGAGAAACUGAAGCCGCAAUCAAAUUGCUCAGAACGGUUCAAGGUCCAUCAACAGUAAUGUAUAACAUUAUCAUUGACUCUUUAUUAAAAAAGAAACAACCAAAUGAAGCUUAUGAUUUGUAUUCUGAGAUGGUUAUUAACAGAAUUUCUCCUGAUGUUGUUACUUAUAAUACUCUAAUUUAUGGAUUUUGCUUAGUGGGACAAGUAGAAGUAGCAUUUGGUUUUAUAAAUGAAAUGCUAUCAAAUAGCAUCUGGCCAAAUGUUUAUACCUAUAAUAUAUUGAUUGAUGCAUUGUGUAAGGAAAGAAAGUUAGGAGAAGCUAAGAAUGUGUUAGGUGUGAUGGUAAAAGCUCAUGUGAAACCUAAUGUUGUUAGCUUUAAUGCUCUAAUGGAUGGGUACUAAGUAGUUAAUAAAGUGAAGAAUGCAAAACAAAUAUUCAGUGCAAUGACCCACAUGGGAGUGAGUCCUGAUGUUAAGACCUACAAUAUCAUGAUAAAUGGACUCAUAGGGAAUGAAAGGCUAGAUGAGGCCAUAGAUCUCUUUCUGGAAAUGCACACCAAAAAUAUGGUUCCAAAUACUGUGACUUACAAUAUUCUUAUUGAUGGUUUAUGCAAAUCUGGAAGAAUCUCCCAUGCUUGGGAUCUUUUUUGUGAGAUGCGUGGCAGAAAUCAACAAGCGGACGUAAUCACUUAUAGUUCCUUGAUUGACGGUUUAUGCAAAAAUCAUCAUCUAGACAAGGCAAUUGACUUAUUGACGAAAAUGAGAGAGAAUGAAGUUCAGCCCGAUAUGUACACUGUAAAUAUACUUAUUGAUGGGAUGUCUAGAGGGGGGAGACUUAAGAAUGCACAAGAGAUUUUUCAAGAUCUAUUGAAUAAAGGUCACAAUCCCGACCUCUAUACUUAUACUGUUAUGAUCAAUGGUCUUUGUAGAGAGGGUUUGCUUGAUGAGGCAUUGACCUUGUGGUUCAAAAUGGAAGAAAGUGGUUGUUUAUCUGAUGUUAUUACUUUUGAAAUAAUCAUCUCUGCUCUCUUCAAAAAGGACGAGACUGAAAAGGCCGAGAAAUUUUUGCACGAAAUGAUCUCUAGAAAGUUGUUGAAAUGAAGAAAGGUGACACCUUAUUUGAAUAACAAGUUACAUUUAUGUGUUUGUCAUAGAAUGUGCGUGAAUGGUUUGUAAAUUUUGUAUUAGAUGAGUUGAUUUAGGUUGUAACAUCUGUUGCUGAUGUUUUCCUGGUCAAGGGUUGACACAUUUUAUUUUCUUCUCUGCAUUUUGAUUGCUAUCAAAGUUGUGUUUCCUUUGAAAUUACAUUUUAUUUGUAGAAUUUGUUUAACUGAUCAGUACAAAGGUUGAAAUCAAUGAUUUUAUUGUCUUUCAAGAUCAAACCUGUGACCUCCCUCCCUAUGUCUAAAAUCUUGAUGAUUUUUUUAUUUCCAACUGUUUGAUAUUCCCCAUUCAUGUUUGUCAGAGACCAAAUAUGUUUUUGCUUUAGGGCCUUCAUAGUUGCACUUCAGGGAACCAUUCCCAAAGAAUAAGCACAUUUAUGAAGCUUAGGGAUCUUAACCUUGGCAAUAAUCAUCUUCAUGAUAUGGCUAUGCCUAAAUAACUUUUAAGUCUUUUUGAAUUCUUCCAAUUGCAGAAUCUCACAUGUUUAUUUCUUACUCUCACUGGAUUAAUUGCUGGUUCAAUACCACCAGAACUUGGUAAUUAGCACAGUUGGAUACCUUAGGUCUAUUGAAGAAUGUGGUCAGAUUUCAUCCUAAUACAAACCAAUUUGCAGAUAUAUAAAUGGGAAAUUUGACACAAUUCAUAGAAUUACAUUUAUCAAAUAAUUUACUCACAAAUUCAAUCCCUUCUUCAUUAGGCCAAUAAGAGAAGUAGACUAUUUUGUACUUUCAAAACAGCAAAAUUUCUGGUCGUAUACCAUAGAAUUUGGAAAUCUGAAAAAGAUAUUUGCUAGAUGAGUGUGCCUCGUUUUCUUUUUUGUUCAUAGAAUUUGAAUUAUUUCUCCAUGUUGUUCCCACAAGAGUUAUUUGGAAAAUUUUCUGGUUUGUUUUUAUUUCCCAUAUAUACUUUGAUUUCUUACUCCUUAAAACUUUUGCAGUAUGAACAUUAUGCAGCAUAUUAUCUCACUUCAUAACAUGGAGCUGAAGUCUAAAAGAACUAGAGAUAUACCACUUCUUGUGUGUAUGAAGGAUCGUGGCACAACUUCAGCUGAUAAAGUUCUUACUUAGUUAUAUAUGUAGAAUUUACAUAAUUACAAUAAUAAAGUUCUUAGAUUAAUUAAUAGCCAUAUAUAGAACUCAAAUAUUGUAUUUGAUGUUGAGUUAAGGUUGUUGAAGACUAAUUUAUAGUUUCGACCUCCUUGACAAUGGUGGUGGCCCCGAGUGCAUGGCUGUCAGAGUUGGAAACCAAAGUAAUCAAAAAGUCAAAUAGAUCAGUGACAAUAACUGUUGAGUUUAAUUCCUCUUUGUGUAAAGUCCUUAACGAAUAGAUCACAAGCCUUGGAGAAAAUAAUUUGAGUAUCCUCUGAUAUCAUUUUAACAUCCUCCCUUGAUUUCUUCAUGAUCUUCUUUAUCCUUGCCAAGGGCAGAGAAUGGAGCCCUUUCCUUCCAGAUAUCCCUCCAUACAAUAACCCUGAAUAUGCGCCAACUUGUUUCAUCUCUGUUCUACUUCACUACUGUGUGUUUUUGAGCUAACUUCAGUUUUAAUGGUCUCUGAGAUACUCUUAGUUGUAGCAUCAGUGUCAAGUUUCAGUGUUAUAUACAACAUUUUCAUUGAAUCUUUCACAGUUUCAUUCCAAUGACAUUGUCUACCAAGACUACUUUGGUUGGCUAAAUGUAUCUACAAUAAAUAAUUAUGAAUCCUCAACUCCAACAUUAUUAUUCAACUUAUAUAUUUGUUGCUUGUGCCUUGAAACAUUAGGGAUCGAGAAGUGUAAAAUGAUUAUAUAAUGAUUUGACUUAUUUCUUGGUAAAGCAUUAUCAAUAAUGACAAGGAUUCUUCUUUACAAGUAUUUAGCAAUUUGAAAGGAUUGCUUAAUCAAAGAAAUAUUUUAGGCACAAAUAUAGUUUUUGGAGUCACGAUCUGCAAACCCCAAAUGCUCAUUUUCUUCUGCACAAACAUUUCUCCCCUGCUAGAGCUCGACAACAGUAUCGGCAGCAGUGAAGUUUGACAGCAACACUGACAGUAGUACACGGUGGAGUUUGACGAGCAGCUCCCGACAACAGGACACGUGGGUCUCUUAGGCUCUCAAACAUCUCGUGGGCUUUGUUAACCCUUUGAUACUUUACUUUAGCUUCUUUGGAUGCUUAAGUUUGUAUGUCUUUCAACUUGUCGAUAGUCUCUUCACAUGAUUUUAGAGUUGUGACUGCCAUCAAAGUUUUUGCAUCAUUGUCUUCUAUCAGUGUUCCAACACCAAAAUCAUCUUGCAACACUUAGUCAGUGAGAAAAAAGAAAACCAAAUUGAUUAGAUGGGAAGUAUAUUAAAACCGAGAUUACCCUUUUGUGCUCUGGCCUUUAUGAAGCGUGAGAUUAUACCCACCUCAUUCCUAUUUCCCUCUUAAGCCUAGUAUAGUCUAGUUUAGAAUAUCUUUGUUUUAGUUGGUGCAGUUCUUUUAACAAUUUUUGAUUUACAAUUUCCAGCAAAUAGUUUUGUUUUUCCUUUAAAAUGAUUUAGUAUAGGUACCAUAUUUUGAUUCUUCUUAGGAAGUAGGUAGGUUAGUUUACAUACAACUUUAUAUUGAUGAAAUGAAUUUGUUUAGUCUAGUUUAAUUGUAGUUUUUGUUUCUGUAAUUGAAUUCUGCUAAGUCCAGUGAAUUUUCUUUUAGUUAUAGUCUAGUAGCUUAGUUAAAUUCUGCAGUUUUAAUUUUUAAUAACUAGAAAGAUGUAUUUGUAGAUCAGUUCAGUGAAUUUGUGUUUCUUUAAAUAAAAAUUAGAACUAGUUAGAAGUAGGAAGUGGAUUUUUAGAUUGUUCUGUUUUACUGCAGUACUUUUAGGCUAGUGUAGGGGCAUUUUCAGAUUUUGGUUUUAUAAUUCUAGGGAGUAGAUAAUUUUGAGAAUGGUUUCUAGUGGUAAAUUUAGGUUUGUUAGCAUAGUUAUGAUAAUGUUUUGGUAGUUUUAUCAUUAGGAUAUAGGUUUAGGACAAUUUUAAAAUUUUCUGCAUAUUUGAAUAUCAUAACUGAGUCCCAUUUGUUUCCUUGUUCUACCAACAAACAAAUCUCCAGAUUUAAUGAAUUCUGGAAUUCUUCCAGUGAUUGUGAUAGGUUCCUAAACUGGGAAUCUAAUCAAGAACUCAGGAAGUAAAAAGCAUGACUUCUCAGUCUAGCUCAAGAGAAUCAUCCAGAACACCAUCUUAAAAAGCGAGAUACAGUAACUUACUGAUUUUUAAAUAAAACUAUAUAAUUAUGAAAAGCUGAAUGAGUUAUUAAUAGCACUUACUGGAAUAUUUGUAAUAUCUCCUAAUGUUGUCCNGUCCAUUGACUCUNAAUUUUUCAUNUACCUUNAUCCUUNCCNGAGANUCCAAAUNAUUCUCNAACACAGUUUCCUUCAGCCAUGCAGUAGAAAGUGGUUUUCCCAUGCAUAAAAAAUGUCANUCUGCCUCAAUUGUCUCUCCAAUUNUGANCAAACCUUUAAAUAUUUUUAAUGUUCAUAAUAUAGGUUAGUUCUAAACUCUAUGUAUAAUGUUGCAGACAUGUUUGAUAGUUUUUUUUCAAACCCUUCUUUUAACUGUUAUGUCUGAAUUGUCAAUGCAAUAGUCUUUUAUUAUUUAUUUGCAGUGUUACUGUUUGUUCUCUAUCUCUCUUAAUCAUGUAAAUUAUUUUAUCAUAUAUUUCAUUCUUUUCUGUAUAAAUUUUAUAAAAGGUUAUGUAAAUAUGAUUCCUUAUUUUAACUGCCACUAUAUAGUUGACAUUUUUGGCCUGAUUCUACUAUAUCAAAAGUAAAUGUAAUUGUAAGUAACAUUAUAAAAGAUCACAUGAAACCUAGAUUUUUCAAUAUGUUUACUUAGUUGAAAAUCAUCUAUAGCUUAAAAUCCAAAACAUUCUAAAAUUAAAUUUACAGCUAUAAACAAAAAACCGUGUAAAUGACAUAUAUAUCUAUCUAGCGAGAGUUAACAUAAAAGUUAUUUUGACUGUAUUAUAACUGAAAUUAAUCUAUUAUUUUCUAAGCAACUACUCUGGCAUUGCAUGCUGGUAUAAUUUGACAAGGUGUAAUGCUACAAAGAAGCUGCUAACAAGCAAAGUCAGCUAAGUAUCUGUGACACGUUUUAGAAUAAUAAUAUAUAUUAGAUUUUGAUGUAUCCAAGUAUCUGACACACUUAUUGGAUAUUGCUGUUUCCACCGUAAUUGUAUAGGCAAAAGCUACGAUGUAUCAUGUCAACCAUUUACUGUAUCUUUUCUUUUUAGCUCAAGUAAAACCUAACCAAUGUAAAACAAAUCCUAAAUAAAAUGUUUCACAUUGUUAAGAGUCUCGUGUUCAAUGGCAAGUUACUUCUUAUUCCAUAUUUUGCCUCUGUUUUUACUCAUUUUUCCAGAUUUACACAUUUCCCAUCUUGCUAGCUUAGUUCUCAAUUUUAUAUUAAUUUUCAAGUCACGUUGAUUAUAUGAAAGGAUUGCCUUGAGAAUUAUUUGAAGAGUUGUUAGUCUUCAGAAAGUUGUUCAAUAGUUUUUGGCUUCUAGAGGGAUAAGUGCACAAGUUUGAAUGAAUAAGCUACUCGUGUUUUAAGUGUUCAACUAUGCUCGUUGGGCUGAUUUUAUGGUCUCAACACUGAAAGUUUGUGAUUACUACAGGUAUCUCAGAUGUUUGCAAGAAGUGAAGCAAGAGUACUUCCUUGUCAUGAAUAAGCUUGAAACACGGUUCAGGGUGUUAACUAGAGGAAAAACUUAAAAUAUUAAAUAUCCUUCUAUUUACAUUCUGGAUUUGUAAUUUAUAUUUCUUUUACGAAUUAUUGAUGCAGCUUGAGCAACAGAUUGUGACAGUUGGUGGGUCAAUCCCUACGAAACUGAGUUUCAGUGGGUGACUAGGUGGGUUUGUAAAGAUACUUGUGUUAUGUUUCUCAUCUUUGUCAAAGAUUAUCUUUUAUCUUAUGUCCACGAAGAAUGUAUGGUUUUUGUGACGAUAUAAGAUUCCAUCCAAUGUACCUUUUUCUUCACCAAAAAGCACUUUAUAAUUUAUAAUCUAUUGCAUGCUUUAAUGAGGGAUCAUAUUUCAUAUGAUCUUUGCCUCUUGUAUUUCUCUUUCGAAUAAGGGUUGGAUAUAUUUUUUAUUUUACAGAUAUGAUAUUUUUUGUUUUAGAAUUUGAUCCCAAACAUAGGCCUUUAAUUGCCAUAUGUUUCUUUGCCCGGGUGUUUUUAUUAUGCAAUUCCAGUUGGGUUUAGGUUUGUUGUUGUAGAAGUGACUAUUUGUUGUUUCUAUUAUUAUAUUUUUCUCAUGUUAAAAUUGAAAGUUCGUGGAUUGACUCAUUGAGCUUUAAAGAUAUUUGAUUUUGUGAACUUUUUUAAUGAAGAAAGUUUUUGGUUUUGUAGACUUUUUUUGGUCUCAAUUCACAUGAGCUAGAACCAAAUCAUAUGAAAGUCUAUGUAAAAUUUGUGUACUUUGGACACUUGGUCCUCCCUCACAUCAGAAUUCAUAGACCAUUCAUGUAUAAUUUGUUAGAUUGGUUAGUGGAGCAGUAAAAGAACAAGCAAAAUCAUAGUAUGUAUGUAAACCAACAUUGUUCAUUGAGAUUGAGGAAUUCAAGUGAUAAUGUGUUAUGCAGCUUUUUAGAUGUUAUUUUCUUAGAGGAAUAUGAGACAAAAUCUCAACCCAAUUUUCUCUUACCAAUUACACAGAACAAAGAAGUAAAAUAAUAACAAAUCAAUCAAUUUAACAUAACUUCAGAAAGAUGUCAUUUUGCGGAGGGUAAGAUGUCAUUUUCAAGAUGACAUACAUAAGUAUCAAGGCCUGUAUUUUUGAAUCUGAGUGCAGUUUGUUUAGGUCGGGACCGAAUUAUAUUAUAGCCUAGCGGAUACAUUUAUUUUCAAAUGCUGAUGUAUCCCAAGGCAAUUAAAUCAUAAAAGAACGAAUUCAAUAUCUCCAUAAAGAAGGAAUCCUAAUUUUAUUAUAUCCCUAACGAAUCUUAUCUCCAUAAAAGAACGAAUUCAAUANNNNNNNNNNNNNNNNNNNNNNNNNNNNNNNNNNNNNNNNNNNNNNNNNNNNNNNNNNNNNNNNNNNNNNNNNNNNNNNNNNNNNNNNNNNNNNNNNNNNNNNNNNNNNNNNNNNNNNNNNNNNNNNNNNNNNNNNNNNNNNNNNNNNNNNNNNNNNNNNNNNNNNNNNNNNNNNNNNNNNNNNNNNNNNNNNNNNNNNNNNNNNNNNNNNNNNNNNNNNNNNNNNNNNNNNNNNNNNNNNNNNNNNNNNNNNNNNNNNNNNNNNNNNNNNNNNNNNNNNNNNNNNNNNNNNNNNNNNNNNNNNNNNNNNNNNNNNNNNNNNNNNNNNNNNNNNNNNNNNNNNNNNNNNNNNNNNNNNNNNNNNNNNNNNNNNNNNNNNNNNNNNNNNNNNNNNNNNNNNNNNNNNNNNNNNNNNNNNNNNNNNNNNNNNNNNNNNNNNNNNNNNNNNNNNNNNNNNNNNNNNNNNNNNNNNNNNNNNNNNNNNNNNNNNNNNNNNNNNNNNNNNNNNNNNNNNNNNNNNNNNNNNNNNNNNNNNNNNNNNNNNNNNNNNNNNNNNNNNNNNNNNNNNNNNNNNNNNNNNNNNNNNNNNNNNNNNNNNNNNNNNNNNNNNNNNNNNNNNNNNNNNNNNNNNNNNNNNNNNNNNNNNNNNNNNNNNNNNNNNNNNNNNNNNNNNNNNNNNNNNNNNNNNNNNNNNNNNNNNNNNNNNNNNNNNNNNNNNNNNNNNNNNNNNNNNNNNNNNNNNNNNNNNNNNNNNNNNNNNNNNNNNNNNNNNNNNNNNNNNNNNNNNNNNNNNNNNNNNNNNNNNNNNNNNNNNNNNNNNNNNNNNNNNNNNNNNNNNNNNNNNNNNNNNNNNNNNNNNNNNNNNNNNNNNNNNNNNNNNNNNNNNNNNNNNNNNNNNNNNNNNNNNNNNNNNNNNNNNNNNNNNNNNNNNNNNNNNNNNNNNNNNNNNNNNNNNNNNNNNNNNNNNNNNNNNNNNNNNNNNNNNNNNNNNNNNNNNNNNNNNNNNNNNNNNNNNNNNNNNNNNNNNNNNNNNNNNNNNNNNNNNNNNNNNNNNNNNNNNNNNNNNNNNNNNNNNNNNNNNNNNNNNNNNNNNNNNNNNNNNNNNNNNNNNNNNNNNNNNNNNNNNNNNNNNNNNNNNNNNNNNNNNNNNNNNNNNNNNNNNNNNNNNNNNNNNNNNNNNNNNNNNNNNNNNNNNNNNNNNNNNNNNNNNNNNNNNNNNNNNNNNNNNNNNNNNNNNNNNNNNNNNNNNNNNNNNNNNNNNNNNNNNNNNNNNNNNNNNNNNNNNNNNNNNNNNNNNNNNNNNNNNNNNNNNNNNNNNNNNNNNNNNNNNNNNNNNNNNNNNNNNNNNNNNNNNNNNNNNNNNNNNNNNNNNNNNNNNNNGAGAACAUAUUUUUCAAAAAAAAUAAUUAAAAUAUAUUUUCUUUUUUCUGAAAUUAAGAUUGAAUUAUUAUAAACUAUUGGCUUAAAUUAGAUUCAUUAAUUUUAAUAAAAGAAUCAAUUAAAUUUUGAAUAAUAAUUAAUAAUUAAUAGAAAUCAUUAAUCCUUAAUAAAAUGGAUUUCUUGUAUUCAUUUUAACAAAUGGAUGAUUAAAGCACUGCAAGAAACUGGAAAGGGUGUUAUAAGGAUCUCGUACCUUCAGUGUGUACCAGAAACUGAGAAUGAGGAAAGCUGUUCUUAGUCUUCACUAAAGCAAGUACUCCAUUUUUUACUUGUUUGAAGCUGUUGCAGUCUUAAACUUUAUUAUUGCAGGAACCAUAUUUUGGUAGACAUCGAUAUAAGGAAUAGAGAAAGGAUCAAAACAUUUAGAAAACAAACUCAACCUAGAGUUCUUUAUAAUAAAUGCUUGGAUUUUUAAAAAGGAGAAUAAUAUUUAAUUUAAUUGAUUUCUUUUUACAAUUCAUUAAAAAAAGCUUGGCACUAGAAAAAUAUAUAUAGAAUAUAUUACUUUGCUUCUGGUUAUAUGAGAAAAGGUAUAAUUAAUUUCUUUUUAAAUAUUUGGUCUAAAUGCAUUUAAUAAGAAUUCACUAAAUUUUGAUAAUUUUAUUAUAUUUUUUAAUAGUUAUUAAUAUUAGUUUAUUAUUAUAUAUUUAACGGUUAAUAUUAUUUUAUUAAAUUACAUAAAAAUAUAGAAUUAAAAAUUAUAUAAAAACAUGUGAUAUUUUAUUAAGAAAAACAUUCUAAAAAUUCAUAUUCAUUAUUAUAUUUGUAAAAAAAGAAAAUUUAAUUUUACUAAUUUUAAGGUAGAUAGUCUUUUAAUGAAUCACGAUUUUUUAAUAACCUACAUUUGUAGACUGAGUCACUCAUGCACCCUUUCACUGUCACAAAUAGAAAACAAAAGACUUAAAAUCAUGGUUGGUCUCAAUUUUUGUUUAAAAUGGUAUGCAUUUUUCAAAAUGUUCAAUAUAGUUCAAAACAUCGUAAUUUAUGUUCAAUUUAGUCCUUUCUACAAACGCAGUUUAAAUUGUUAACUAUCAAAUGUCCAAGUGUGCAAUAAGUGAAUUAAAUCACACUUUAAAGUAUAGUGAGGUAGAUUUUUUAUUUUUGGAAGUGAUUUUCUGAUAUCAGAGUUUUGAUUUUUCAAGUGUGAACAUAUUGUUUUCGUCAAUUCUGAGUUUUGUGGGUUCUAAAAUAAGGUUUUUAAGGUGUGAAAAUGUUUGAUCCUGGUUUGGUAGAGAAACCUAAAUGCGCAAUCGAAAUUCACACAGAACAGAGAAUCAAAACCCCAAUUCUCCCCACCUAUCUGCAAGGUAGAAGAACCCCAACCCAAUUCCGAAUUCAGAGGAACCAAUUAUUUCUCAAAUCAAAGCGAAACGAAACCCUAUAUCCCAAAUCACAAAAAAUCAAAUAGCCAAACAGAACCUUAAAGAACCCAAUCAAAGACAGAAGAGGAGGAGGAGAAUGAAGUUUCCCCCUUGCGUUGCAAAGUCAGAAUGGAGAUAAGAAAUUUCUGUCAACGUCAUGUGCACCGCACCGCAAGAAGGGUGUUCGUGCCCUACCUACACAAAACCCCAACUAGAAUCGCGAAGGAGAAGAGGAAAGGAAAGUUCUCCCUCCUUACGACGCUGUCCACGAAAAAAAAAGGGAGGAAAAGAGUCCCCUUGCAUGACGAAGGCCCUGCGGCUCCACUAAUAACCACGACUGAAGAUGAGAACGAUGCCUAAACCGUGCCUCCACAUCGCUGGUGAUUCUCAUCACCACAAGACCAUCUUCCAUGCACGAGAUGGAAAAAUUCAAAACGAAGAAGAGGAAGAGAACCCUAAUUUUCAAAACUAGCCUCAUAGACAAUCCCAACAUAAAUUACAAUAUUUAGAACUACAUUGAAUAUUUAAAAAAAUAUAUGACCAUUUCGAACAAAACUAAUAAAAAUUAAAAACUAACCUCAUAGACAAUCCCAAUAUAAAUUACAAUGUUUAGAUCUAUAUUAAAUAUUUCAAAAAAAUAUGACCAUUUCGAACAAAACUAACAAAAAUUGGAACGUUUAAUAGUAUUAAGCUAAAACAAAACAAAUCAAAAUUUUAACUUGCGUUUAGAACGUGGAAAGAAAGAUCAGACAAAUAAAGAGUGAGCGUCGUUGGAUUUGGUUGUGUCUUACGUGUUUGGUUAAAAACUUCUCAAUAAUGGCGAAGAGGGAACAAGGUUAUCGCUGUAAUUAAUGAUCAGAAAUAAAUUAAUAAUAAUAAAUGAAGCGCGUCUUGUGACUGUCCCAGGAAAUUCAAUUGCAAAGGUACAUAAGUGGUUGGAAACAUGUACCUUUUCACUCUCAGAAAACGAAACAAAAUUCAAUAGCAUAUUCUUAUAAAUACUCAAUAACUUUUUAAAGAUUCAGUUUUCAACAAUUAAUCAAUUUAACUAAUAAAUAUUAUUCAUAAUAUAAAUCUAAUUAAAAUAUUUGUUUAAGACUUUAAAAUUAAAUAAAUUAAUUUAUUGUAUGAGUUUAAGGUUGUGUUUGUUUGGAAAGAAAACAUUCAUGAAAAUUAUUUAAGCAUUAAGAUUUAUGGUUACUGCAUUAGUUUUGGUGAAUUUGAACGUUUCGUUUUGAUAAAUUUAAAAAUGAGAAGAGACGAUUAUUUGUAGGAUUGAUUUUUUUUUUUUCACUCAUUAAUUCGUUUUGGUAAAUUUAGAAAUCACGAUUUUGAGUUUGAAGACGAACCAAUAACCUAUGGAAAUUAAGAGGACUUUGAAGUUGGAGUCCAUAAAAAAGCUCUUGUAAUCGAUUUCAUGAUGCAAAUUGAAUGAGGUGAAAUCAUUCUAUAGGGCUUUGUUGGACCUACGAUAUGUAUUUGUUCUGUAUAGGGAGAGGAUAUAAUGUUUCAAUCGUUCUGCGACUUAUUAGGAGGAUUGGUGGUCGAAACGGUUCUCAUGGAAUUGGUUCUGCAGUUUUGGACAACGUUUUGGUAUGGGUCGAGUUAUUCAAGUUCCUGCACAAUUUCUUUUAAGUUUUGUUCGGCCGUCGUCUUUAAUCUUUUGUCUCUCGUUCGAUGAUAUACUUGUCAAAGAUUUUUCGAUGACAAAGUCAGUAACGGUGUCCGUAUGGUAAUCUAGGUAUUGUAAUAAAUGCGCAAUUAAGUCUGCUUACCUUUUACCUUCAAUCUCUAUUCAUAAUUUUCGUUAUGGGCUUUAGAUUAGUAAACCUUAAUCCUAGGCCCAAUCAUAACCCAAUCACCAUUAACCAAUGUUUUACCUUAACUAUGGCUAAAUGCUUACCUGUUGGUCAUGGCCGGCCGAUCAUGUUAGCGUUAGCUUGCCGGCCGGUCAAGGUAUUAGCUCGCCGACCGGUGUUAAGACCUCGGCAAGUAUACUGAAUCAUAUCAAGUAAUAUAAAAUGGUAAGACCAAGUAUCGUAUCCCAAAAGACUCACGACACUAAACAGUCAUGUAAUACCUUAACUAAUUAAGACUUAAGAACAAUUUCAUUGGUUUAAAAUGCAAAUGCAAUAAAAGUAAAUUUGAAUGCAAAUUGACCAAUUGAGGCUAAAACACAAAUGAAUGAACGGUGUUGAUAAUAUGAGAUGAUUAUGUUGUUGGGGUUUAGAUUUCACCUAAUCACUUUCAUGCAUAUAAUUAAGAAUUCAUCUUCUUCAUUAGAAUGUUAAUGUCACUUUCUAUAUUACUUAGAACCCGACGUCUUGACGUAAAAAGCCUAUCCUCAAUCAUUAGACCACAAUGUCGUGCAUCCCUAAUAAUUAAUUCUGCAUUAUGAACAUAAGCUUAAGACAACUAAACGUUCUAUCCCUAUGUCUAGGCAGUAGUUCCUUCGGGUGAAAUUCUCCAGAUCAUGAUUCGUAAGAUAUUUCCCAAUACUCAGACAAAUCAAAUAUCAAGUCAUGAAUAGCUAAAACAAAACUAGCAUUACAAAUAGAAGAAAAUCACUAACAUUCAAUGAAAGAAGCAUAAAAUAGUUUAGAACAUAUUCAAAUACAUGAGAGUUUAAAGGUUACAUCUUCCACAACAACAAAUGAGGUUUAGUUCUCCAUCGUUAUGAGAACCUAGGUGUACAAUGGAAUGGAAGAGAUAAAAACUCUAGAAAGACCAAUCCUAUCACAACUCUUUUAGAAAAACUGUAGUUGUUAGAUCUCUUUAACAAUUCACUAACCAGUUCAAUCCGAUCUACUUUUGGUCAACUGAUGAAUAUGGAAAUUCUUUAUCUGGAUUCAAACAAACUUGAAAGUAACAUUAUAUUUCUCACGUAAUUUACUCGUCUCUUUCUUGUCAAUAUAGGAGAAUCUGAAUAUCUUUUUCUCAUUCACAAAUUUACUCACAGGGUCAAUUCCUCCUACUUUAGGUUAAUUGCAUAAUUUGACAUACUUGAUUCUAACCAAAUAGAAGGUCACGUACUCCAAGAAUUAGGGAAUUUGUUCAAAUUAACAUUUUUACAACUUUCUGAUAAUAAAAUUUCAAGUUAAUACUUUUUUAAUACUUAAACUUUGGGUUAAAAUUAAGACAGUAGUUUGAAUGCCUAGCGGAUACAUUUAUUAUAUUAUAGCCUAGCGGAUACAUUUAUUUUCAAAUGCUGAUGUAUCCCAAGGCAAUUAAAUCAUGGCUUCAAUCUCACACAAGAAAGUUGUAAAACUCGUUCAAGGUAUGUUUGUUUCACUCUUUUAUUUUAAUAAAAGAAUCAUUCAAACAAAGAAAGGGGAGGAGGCAAGUGGUUCAACCUCCAUCACACCAAUUUGUUUCACUUUUAACAAAACUUUCAGUCUACCAUCAAACUUCUCUUUCUUACUCUACUGCACUCCUCUUCCCAAUUAAAUAUAACUUUCUACUUUUCAAGAGAAGAAUUAUUAUGUUGAAUGGUUUUUUUGUGUAGAUCACUUUCAUACAACUUACAAUAUUCACUGGUGAAAUGCUAACUUUUUAUAGUUUGUUGGUUCAUGUUAUCUAGGCUUUUAGAGUUAGGUUAAGAAUGGAAAUGUCUACAAAUCGAGAAUGGAUGUAUAAUAAGCUUCUUCCUCGUGGAGAGAUAUACACAAAUGAAUUUUUAAGUGACCGUUAAGAGUUUAUGGCUUUUACUAUAUAUUAAAACGAUAAUGUUUUAACCUCAAUCAAAAAGAAGUAAAAGGGGCUUUGUUCUAAUUAAUGUAAUAUUAUUGUUAAUAAGAAUUACGCAGUAGGUUAUACUAAAAUGGAAACUAAGAAGUAAGGGGAAGAAAGAAUACCAGUGUCCAUAUGCAAUGAAGAGUUGGGGUAAUUAAUUUGAAUUAAUAAUUUUAGUAUGUUGUUCUCAAUAUCACUAAUGCAGAAUGCUGAGAUUCGAGUUAAUGAUAUUAUAACUGAUAUAAUACUAUUAAUAUAUUACAAUUCAGUGCAAUAAUAUUAAUAAUAUAAUUUUCUAUCAUUAAUUAUUAUAGUAAUAAUAUAUCAAAUUUUAAUAUUUUUAUUUAUUAUAGUCGAAUUCAUCACCGAAAACAAAUUAUAUUCUUUAAAUAAUUAAUUUAAUUUAUGAUACUUAUUCAUAAUCAUUAAUAAUAAUUGAUUUAUUUUCAAAUUAAUAAUAAGUUUUUUGUAACAUUCCAAAAUAUAGCUUUAUACUAUAUAAUAGUCAUCACAUAUUCGAUAUAAUAGAUCAGUCAACAAAUGGAGAUAUAAAAUUAUUACAGUUAUCUACUAACCAUAAAAAGACUUUAUAUUUACAAAUCAUCUAUGAUCAAAACUAUCUACAAGAAUAACUAAAAGAAGUUUAAGCAUCUUCAACAUAUUUGAUCUUCCUCUGCUCACACUCACCGAAUGAUCAUAGCAAAGAGAAGACGCAAAGAACAUACAAGCACAAACACAAGAAAAAAGGAUAAGCUAGAAUACAACAAUCAAUGAUAUAUAAACACAUGUUAACAUUCAUACGACAACAUAUAACACAUCAAACCAAACAACCCCUUUAAUGCAUGACAACCCUUUUGACUUGACCAUCCGGAUUAGUAUGAAUAUUGAGUUAUGGUAGUUCAUGCACUUGUUGUGGUGAAACAACUGGUCCACCCCAAGCUACCACACAAGCUUAGUCCGUUAUCACUCGCCUUAGGCCAAUGUAAAGCCCCUAGACUAGGACCUCCUACUAUUCUCACGACAUGUCUUACCCUUCUCUACGUGAGAAUGGGUGACCAUUAGAAUGUCAAGAUGGCCAAGAGUGAGCUUCUCAUAUUCAUACUUACAAUACUUAAAACCACCACUAAGAAGGUCCUCCUUGGAACUCUCUUCCACACCUUUGAAACCAUUGAUAUUAAUUCACAUUCACAUAGUACACCAAUACUUGCGACUAUUGAUCAUGCAUUAAAGAAAUAGAAACACAAUUACAAGUCAUAAAAAAUCACCUAAUAACACAAUUUAUUCAUGGCAUAAUGAUUAACAUGUUUAGGUAAAGAAAACAGCUCUGAAACCCUUCCCAACAGCUCCAGAAGAGUCCAAAACCCCCAAAACGAUAUAAAGAACGUCUAAAAUGGACAUCCAAAAACUUGAAAACUCCCCAAAAAUGUUGCAGUGCUGCCUAGUGGCGCCCAACGCUUUCGCAGGGGCGCCCAGUGCCAUGACAGUAGAAAAACCACUUCGAAUUGGACCUUGGAGACCCUACCUUCAACUUCUAAAGACCCCCAGGAUCCUCCAGAACUUGAGAAAACAUAGAAAACCCUCAUGUCACUCAAUUUGACACUUGAAACUCACUAUUCACUCCUACAAGCUAUCCAAUUUCAUUUCUAUCCUUUAAAACCCUCAAACCAGUUUGCAACUUGCCUAAACAAGUGCAAUUGCACUUGCUAGGACUCUCCAAAACCACAGAAUACUCCCAGCAGUCCUACUUCUCAUUUUCACCCCUUAAAACCCCUAAAAUGGGCUAAACACUCAACUUAUGAAGUCAUUUUCCAUUUCAGAACAAAUUUUACUGGUUUAGUCAUCUAGACAAGUCCUAAUAGGUGUGAUAGCAUACCCCUAACCUUUCAAAAUAGUGUAGACCUAUUACCUCACCAUUUCACUACUUAACACCCUAUUUUUGACUAAGAACCAUGCACAUACACUCUCACAAGACCUCUACUCCAAUAUAGAUUAGAUUUUACUGUUUUAAGAGUUCCAACAAGUCUAAAAUAACUUAAAAAUAGUCCCCAAACCGCUAUUGCUAUUAAACCAUCAUUCCCUCUAAAAUUUACCUCUCAAAACCCCCCAAUUUCACUCUAAAAUGGUAUAAAAUGCACUCAAGUUUUACUUCUCAAUUUCAACUUCAUAUUAUAACUAUUUUAGGAUAUAAACAAAAUAUAAUGGACCCAAAGACCUUUACCAAACUGCAUAAUUCCCUUUAAACUCACUAAUCCAAAAUUUGACAUGCUAACACACAUCACUUUAAAUCUCUAAUUUAUACAUCAAAUCCUCAAUUCUUUCAACUAUCAAUAAUAACACAGUUUUAUAUCAACAACAUCUUAAUUUCAUCAUACUAUAAGUUAUACAACAAUCAUACAUUCACAAUUUUCAAAAACACAUCAUAAAGGAUGAUUACUCAUACUUUUUCAAAUUUCACACCAUUAACAAUCAUAUAAUCACAUGCACACCAAAUGACAAAUUACAAACAUUUUACUACAAUUAUUAAAAUCAAACUAGCUUUCCUUACCGAAAAUUUCUUCUUUUUCACUAAAAUUCUCAAGAUUGCAAGACAUCGGACAAACACCCCUUUUCGAAACCUUAACUCUCAAAUUAGAAUCCAGUUGCGGAGAGAUAGAAAUCUUCUCUCUUGCUUACUUUCUCUCACGCACCGAGUAACUUUUCAUCACUCUAAGGUUUCUAAAAAAACAAAAGAAAAGGAAAUAAGAAAGAGAGGAGAGUGGUGAGGGAAGAAAAAGGAAAAUGGAAGAAGUAAAGAGGGAAGAGAAAGAAGGAUACAGGGAAGGGUAAAAGAAGGAGGAGAGAAAGGUAAAAACAUGUUCUUAUAGUUUUUGCAUUGCAUUGUAUGGUGGCACCAUAAUGUUUCCAUCUUAAAUUUAAAUAAUAAUAUAAAAUUCAAGUUUAUACUUUUAUUAAAUUUCAUGUAAUCUCGGUUCAAUUUUUUUAACUUAUUUUAAUUCAAACAUUAAUUAAAUUUAUAUUGAUAAAAUUUAAUAGGUGGGAAAUUUUUCCAUGCAAUAUAUAAACUAAUAUAUUUAUAAUUCAACAUUAUUGUUUAGAUAAUAAAUUAUAUUAGAGCAAUUUGAUCCCUUAUUUAUAUUGUGUAUAGUUUAAAAUUUUUAUAUUUAAUAAGUUCAAAUUUUGAAAAAAUAAUCAAAAUUAAAUACAAAUAUAUAUUGUUAUUUAUUUAGUAAAAUUUAAGAUAAUUCUUCCUAAAAAAGAAAUUUGAUGGAUAAAUUUUUGAAUAAAAUUAAAAUAUUAAUAAAUACAUACUAUAUUUCGAAAUUUAAUUUAAAAACUCAUUAAAUUUCAAAAUAUGAUAUCUAUUUUUCUUAAAUUUUAAAAUUUAUUAUUCAUUUCUUUCUGAUUUCGAAAUGUAAUAUUUAUUUCUUUUAUUUUCGUAUGAACAUUCUGAUCAAAUUUUAAAAUCUGAUAAACACUAAAAAAAAUACUUACAUAUUAGAAUUGAUAAAUAAUUUAUUAUUAAUAUUAUUAAUAAUAUUAAAAUUUAUAUAAUAAUAUUAAUAAGGUUAUAACUCAUAGUAUAAUAAUAUAGUAUAAAAAUAUUAAUGAUAUAUUUUUUCAUAAUUAGUUAUAAUAAUAAUAAUUUAUCAAUUUUUACUAUUUUUAUUUAUUAUAACCAAAUUCAUUUGUGAAAAAAAUUAUAUUUUUUAAAUAAUUAAUUUAAUUUAGGAUAUUCCUUCAUAUUUACUUAUUAAUAAUAAUUUAUUUAGUUUCAAAUUAAUAAUAAUCUUAUAUAUGGUAUUGUAGCAAUGUUUCCAACCAUUGAUAAUAAGUUUACAUAAUAAUAGAAAAAUUGAGUUUAUAAUUUUACAAAGUUUAAUGUAAUUUGUGAUUCAAUUUUUUUAACUUAUUUUAAUUUCAAAUAUUAAAACAUUAAUAAAUAUGUAGGUUACGUGAGAUUGAAAAUGAGUGGUAAAUGGAUGUGAUAAUAAUAGUAAGAGAGAUUUUUUUUUUACACUUAUCAUCAAUGCUUUGAUAUUAAGAGAAAAUUGAGAGACACAUGAAUAAACUUUGGAAGUACAUGAAAAAGUCCACUCGUUGAGAAGAUAUCACUUAAAAUGAAAGCCUAAGUGUUAAUAAUUAUUUCAAAUUUAAAUAACUUUAAAAAUUUAGUGGAAAUAAAAAAAUUAUUCAAAUAAAAAUUUAAAACAAAAUUAAAAUUCAUUAAGUUUAACUUUCAUACAAGUUAAAAUUAAAAGCAUACAAGUUAAGCUUUUUAAAAUAGAAGAAAAAGUAAAUUUCCAUACAUACUAUUGUUUGCAGCAAAGAUGUGGUUCUCAAGAAGUGUUAGGGUUUUUCUUCUUCCUUCCAUUGCCAAGUUUUCUCCUUUUCUUCCAAUGCACAAUUCCUUCUUUUGCUCUGACUCUCACUCUCAAACUUCGUUACACGACGAAGCCAUCUUACAAUUCAAUCGCUUGCUUCAUAAGCGUCAUGUUCCUCCGAUCUUCGAAUUUGGAAAGAUUUUGGGAUUUCUUGUGAGGAUGAAGCGGUACCCUAUUGCCAUUUCUCUUAUUAAGCAAAUGGAGCUCAAGGGAAUUCACACUGACCUUGUUAAUCUCAGCCUCCUCAUGAAUUGUUUCUGUCGCUUAGACAAAUUGGCUUUCGCUUUCUCUGUAUUUGCCAAGAUUCUCAAACGGGGUUAUCAUCCAAAUGCCAUAACCUUAAAUACACUCAUGAGAGGUCUCUGUGAUAAGGGUGAGGUCAAGGAAGCCCUUAACCUUCAUGACAAAGUAGUAGCACUAGGAUUUCCUCUCAGCCAAUUUACUUAUGGGACUCUGAUAAAUGGACUGUGCAAAAUAGGAGAAACUGAAGCCGCAAUCAAAUUGUUCAGAACGGUUCAACGUCGAUCAACAGUAAUGUAUAAUAUAAUUAUUGAUUCUUUAUUUAAAGAGAAACAACCAAAAGAAGCUUAUGAUUUGUAUUCUGAGAUGGUUAUCAAAGGAAUUUCUCCUGAUGUUGUUACUUAUAAUACUCUAAUUUAUGGCUUUUGCUUAGUGGGACAGGUAGAAGUAGCAUUUGGUUUUCUAAAUGAAAUGCUAUCAAAUAGCAUCAGGCCAAAUGUUUAUACCUAUACUAUAUUGAUUGAUGCAUUGUGCAAGGAAAGAAAGUUAGGAGAAGCCAAGAAUGUGUUAGGUGUGAUGGUGAAAGCUCAUGUGAAACCUAAUGUUGUUAGCUUUAGUGCUCUAAUCGAUGGGUACUACGUAGUUAAUAAAGUGAAGAAUGCGAAACAAGUAUUCAGUGCAAUGACCCACAUGGGAGUGAGUCCUAGUGUUUGCACCUACAAUAUCAUGAUAAAUGGACUCAUAAGGAACAAAAGGGUGGAUGAGGCCAUAAAUCUCUUUCGGAAAAUGCACAACAGGAAUAUGGUUCCUAAUACAGUGACUUACAGUAUUCUUAUUGAUGGUUUAUGCAAAACUGGAAGAAUCUGCCAUGCUUGGGACCUUUUUGAUGAGAUGCAUGGUAGAAAUCAACAAGCAAAUGUAAUCACUUAUAGUUCCUUGAUUGACUGUUUAUGCAAAAAUCAUCAUCUAGACAAGGCAAUUGAAUUACUGAAGAAAAUGACAGAGAAUGAAAUUCAGCCCAAUAUGUACACUAUGAAUAUACUUAUUGAUGGGAUGUGUAGAGCGGGUAGACUUAAGAAUGCACAAGAGAUUUUUCAAGAUCUAUUGAAUAAAGGUCACAAUCCCAACCUCCAUACUUAUACUGUUAUGAUCAAUGGUCUUUGUAGAGAGGGUUUGCUUGAUGAGGCAUUGACCUUGUGGUCCAAAAUGGAAGAAAGUGGUUGUUUAUCUGAUGUUAUUACUUUUGAGAUAAUCAUCUCUGCUCUCUUUAAGAAGGACAAGAUUGAAAAGGCAGAGAAAUUUUUACACGAAAUGAUCUAUAGAGAGUUGUUAAAAUGAAGAAAGGUGACACCUUAUUUGAAUAACAAGUUACAUUUAUGUGUUUGUCAUAGAAUGUGCAUGAAUGGUUUGUAAAUUUUGUAUUAGAUGAGUUGGUUUAGGUUGUAACCUCUGUUGUUGCUGAUGUUUUCCUGGUCAAGUGUUGAUACAUUUUUAUUUUCCUCUUUGCAUUUUGAUUACUAUCAAACUUGUGUUUCCUUUGACAUUACAUUUUAUUUGUAGAAUUUGUUUAACUGAUUAGUACAAAGGUUGAAAUCAAUGAUUUUAUUGUCUUUCAAGACCAAACCUGUGACCUCCCUCCCUAUGUCUAUAAUCUUGAUGAUUUUUUUAUUUCCAACUGUUUGGUAUUCCCCAUUCAUGUUUGUCUAAGACCAAAUAUGUUUUUGCUUUAGGGCCUUAAGUGUUGCACUUCAUGGAACCAUUCCCAAAGAAUAAGCACACUUACGAAGCUCAGGGAUCUUAACCUUUGCAAUAAUCAUCUUCAUGAUAUGGCUAUGCCUAAAUAAUUUUUAAGUCUUUCUGAAUUCUUCCAAUAGCAUAAUCUCACAUGUUUAUUUCUUACCCUCACUGGAUUAAUUGUUGGUUCAAUACCACCAAAACUUUGUAAUUUAGCACAGUUGGAUACAUUGUCCCUCCAUAAUAAAUGUCUAACUGGUUCAAUCCAUUCUACAUUAGGUCUAUUGAAGAAUGUGGUCAGAUUUCAUCCUAAUACAAACCAAUUUGCAGAUAUGUAAGUGGGAAAUUUGACACAAUUCAUGGAAUUACAUC